UCGAUUGUAGAACGUACACUAAUAAUACAGCAAAUAUUUAAUUAUGAAAUUUAGGUAUGAUGAUCUCUUAAUUAAACCCCAGGUGAUGAGACUAUAUACAAAGUUCAUAUAACGUAAAAGGUGAUCUUUAUAUCAUCUUGACAAUUUUUAGAUGAUCUUAAAUCUUUAUUUUAUGACUAUGUAAUGUCAGUCAAAAAGGAGUUUGAACUCUGAAAACAUCCAAACAUAUUAUCAAGAUACAUUGGUGAGUGUGAAUUUCACAAAAAUGGAAUAGACAACAAAAUUACAAAAUCUACAACUCUCGAGUCUCGAUCUCAUCUUUUUCCUCGUAUAUAGUCCCCAAAGAAGGCGAAGCUGAGGCCCUCACCGGGAAAGCAUGAAUCGCCGGUACAACUUCCAAAGGUCCCAUCAUUCUCGCCUUUCUCUGUUAAGGAAGAUAGCUGUGCAGUCAGUUAUUUACCAUGUUUGGAAGCAGAGAAACAAUAUGGUCCACAACCAGAAAUCAGUUACACCGUCUAUUGUGUUUCAGGGUAUAGACAGGGAGAUCAGAAACAUCAUUUCCUCCAGGAGACACAACAAGCGCUUCAGGCCUCUCAUGACCCUUUGGUUGAGAUAAAACUAGAUUAGCUUAGCUAUCUUUUGUUGAUGUUAUUCCCUUUGUCCCAUCUUGUUUUUAUUCUUUUUUGCCAAGACGGUGCAGAACUAAGGUCUUUACUUUGUAAAAUCUUUCUUUCAUCUAUGAUAUUUACAAUUUAGCAAAAAAAAAAAAAAAAGAUCUCUUUGAAUUAGAGUUGAUAAGUAUUUUCGGCUUUGCUCUGUAGUUGAGUGUGGAGUUUAUCGAAUACUAGCUAGUGAUACUUAUAGAGAGAUGAGUCGUAAUCAUCGUGUAAACAAAUAUGUAAUGAAAGACGCGGUCUUAUUUGUCGCACGUGAUAUUUAUGUUCCAUAUAGAGAUUGACGCGCUUCAAGUAAAAAUAAUGAGGAGUGACGCGUAUACUGCUUACGUCGCGGACACAUCUGCAUGCCCUACAUGAGAAAGACUACUAUAAAAUCAUCUCACCAAACACAAAUACUGUAAUUCUAGUUUCCGGUUUAUUUUUGGUUUGUUGUUGUCCGGUUGUUCUGAAAAUUUAUCUAUGGUUUGAUGGAUACACUUCAGUUUUCUUCAGUAUUUUUCUUUCCUUAAUUCGUUUGUAUGAAAUAUCUAUUUGAGCCUGGUUCCUUGUAUCGUAUAGGUUUGUAUAGAAAAUACACAGUCAUCAGCUCAAAUUCGAAGAUAUUGUAUGUGUGAUAUUAGGAAGUGGUCAUAUCGAACAACAAAACGUGAAAGUUCCAAACAAAAAUCCCAGAGAAAUAUUAUCAUAAUUUAGUUGAGAAACAGAUAGACUAUAUAUUAACUAAUUAUCAUGAUGAGAUGUCAUUAUAAAUAUACAAAAUCUCAUCUUAUACAUUUAUAACAAAAUACAAAACAAAAGAUUACUAAUACGAAAGUUAAAAUGAUCAUCAAAGGUCUUCCUCAUCAUGUUCUUGAUCAUCUUCUUCGGUCUCUCGUUCUUCUAAAAUAGUCUCAAGAACCGGAGUAGUAGAUGGCUUCUCCGGAUAAAUUAUCCGUGGAGGAGCCGCUUCCAUCCACCAUGCCACAUCUCUUUUUACUUUAGUCAAGUUUCGGUCGCCCCUGCUAUAAAAGAAACACAUGAUCCAGAGAUUUGAAAACUGUAGAAACAAUUAAAGAUACUACGUUUUUUUUUUUGUAACUAAAUAUACUACGUUUUGUGUUGAAGAAAGUGUUAUAGUUGAAGGACAUAUAUAGAGAAAGAGAGAAUGAUUGGUUGAUUUGAAUGGUGGACGAUCCAUAGUGAACAAUGUUGGUUCUUGUCGACUUCCUCGUGUUUGCUAUAAACCAUAUAAAACGAUGAAACCUACAAGAAUAUUCUAGAACCUCAAUUUUUUUAAAACUACAUGAGAGCAACACGCGUGUAUCUUUAUGCUCCUACACGUUCCUUUCAAAUGCUAAGAUAUUUUAUUUAUGCGUCGUAUGUCGCAUUUGUUCAGCUACAUCACCCAAGCAAAAUAAUUAAUGGCCAGAUUUUUUGCGGUCAAUCAAACGCUAAGAUAGUUAACUAGUAUCUCGGCAAAUAGGCUGCACUAUAACACAGUUUAAACUGAGUUUUACACAUUCGACUUUUAUGUGCUCAACUAAGACAAUCCUUUUUAAGUAAUUGAAGACUGAAACGAUACACAUUCCUUGAUAAUCAAAGUGGUAAAAGCUUUCAGAAAUUUAUACAUUCUUUUGGACGUUUAAUACAAUGAUUUCGAUGGUACAAUGGGUUUGAUUUUAAGUCUAAACGUUUCAAGUAGCAUAGACAAUCAUAUAGGCCCACAUUAGAGUAUCAUGAGCUCUUUCAUACUUAUGGGUUGACGAUAUGAGCAAGCCAUGAGAUCAAAUCCCGGUUAAUUCUGGUCUACUACAAUCCUGAUACACUGUAUGAAUCUACCAAGUCUAACCAUUAACAAAAAAAAAAGAAAAAGCUUAAGAGGGUCAAACAGAGAAAUAGUUUUUACAUAAAACGAGUAAGAAACUCUAUUGUCCAUCUAAAGUGACAAAAGCAUCCUUAAGAAGUCGCUGUGCUUCUUCUCUCCUCCUACACACAAACCAAAACAACACUAUUACUAAUUAAUUGUCUGCUUAUUUCCCAUCUCCAACACAUUGAAAUAACUACCAACAAUUUUUUACAGAUUCAUCAUAGUUUAUAGAUUGAUCUCGAUACCAUUAAGCCAAAAAAAAGUUCAAAGAGCAUUACAAACCUCUUAAUGUCCUCCACAGCUUGCUUCCGCUGUUGAAUCUGAAGCUCCAUAAUGUGAAUAAGCGUUGCUCUCGCCUGAACAUCAAUAGAAGAUUAAAAACAAUUAAAACCGACGAAAACAUGUUGUAAAACGGGAUCUUCUUACCUGGUGAGGCCUCAAUGAAUUGAGAAGGUGAUGCAAAUUCUUAAAGAUGGACGAUAUAUCACCAAUCCUCUUAGCAUACUGAGAAGGCCUCUCAACGAGAACAUCAGCAAGCUCCAGUAUAUGCAACUGAAGCUCCCUAUUCAAAGACCUAAGUUCCUUCUUGUAAUCUACACAACGAGGACAUCAUCAAAACCAUGCUCAUCAACUCUAGAAGCUUCUAGAAGAAAGACAUUACCAACAUUAGAGUCUUUGGGAUAAAGCUGAGGCACUCCUUGCUCUUCUAAGCUUGGAAGAACAUCCUCAGUCUAGCAACCAAAAAUUCAAAAGUGAAACUCAUAAAGUUUGAAACUUUGAUAAAGAGGAAGAAUCUCACAGUGUAAUUGCCACCGAAACAAACGUAGGUUCCUUCGAUCGGAGGCGGAGGUUCAGGAGCGGAGCUAGGGUUUUCGGAGUAAUCCUUGUAGAGUCUGUAGUACGGAGGAGGCGGCGGGUACGUAGCUGUAGCCAUUCUCCUACAAUCAGAUCGUAUAUAAUCGUCACUAAUUACAAAGAUUAGGGGUUUCUAAUCGAUUCGAUGAACGACGUUACAAUGCAAAUCUCGAUCUAUAUUCUAAAGACUUGGCGAUUUUUGUAGAGAUUGAAAUGGAGGAACACUAUGGUUUACAUCGAAAGGACAAACCUUUUUGGGGGAAACGAGGAAGAUCGAAGGUGGAAGGAGCUUGAUUUGAGCUUCGGAGAUGAUGCGACGACGGCAAGGAGCGAGGAAGAAGGACGGUUAAAUCAGAUUGCCAAAAAUGUGGUUCUGUGGUUAGCCUUUGUGGGUUACCGGUUUAAUCAGACGGGUAGAGUAGAGUCGGUUUAGUUCAGUUUGAUUAACAGUUAACUAGAAUUUGAAGUCAUUUUAUUUUACGUAAAUUUUUAGAGCUUCAGAUUUUCGUUAAUUAAUUUAAUUUAAAAAUAUGUUAUUUAUGUUAUUAUUUGUAACUAAAAGUUUCAGCUAAACAUUUUUAAAUGAUUAAAAACUAGUACAAUUCACAACUUUAAAUUGUUUGAUAACAUUAAGUUUCAAACUAUUUUAUAAAAUAAAAAGUUCAACUACACUAAUUUCAAAUGAUGUUUUAUAUUUUGAUGCAAUUUCCAACUGAAUACUCGCUCAUAUAUUAUCAUCAUUGAGAUUUUAUGGUUUUAGGUUGGCUUAUUGUAGAAACUCGGAAACAGUAAACAAGAGAUCUUGUUGGAAAAUAUUUAGAUACAUUUCUUAUGCAAAUUAUGGGGUCUUGUUGUUGUUGUUCAGCCCCACAUGAAACAAUCUCAAGCACACAAAGCGACAGAAAGAAAAAUACAAUCAACAAAGAAUGUCAUCAGCGACUUAAACAAAUAUAUAGGAAGAAGAAUCGAGUGAAUGUGUUCCGGUUUCAGAUUCUUAACAUGAUGGAUAGUCCUUGGGCGGUGGUAGAACUGAAAGCUCAGGUGUAUUCCCGUUCUCGACGACGAAAGCCAUCUUCAGACCCCACAUUGUGUGGACUUCCAAGUGACAGUGCAUAAACCAAACACCUACAACAUUAACAUUUGUUUCGAUCAGUAAAGCUACUUAUCAUAUAUAUGUUAUCAUUCUCAUCAUAUAUGUGCAAUGAUAAAUCGUACCUGGAUUAUCAGCCCUGAAUCUGAUGGCGGCCCAACCACCAGUAGGUACUCCAACCGUGUUUCUCUCGGGUGGGUCAAUGAGAUUAAACUUAGCCGGAUCUGUCUUGGGGUCAAAGUUUCCAACACCAGUUCCAACCACAAAGAAGUUGUACCCGUGAAGAUGGAAAGGGUGUGACUCAACGGUUAGGAGAUUGGUGUCUUGCAAAACUAGCUCAAUUGUCGUGUUGAACUUAACUCGGCUCAGUCUUGUCCCCGUAGAUGUCCCGAGGUUAGCCGUGAGUGGCACCCCGGUGUAGUUAAACGCUUUAGGCGGUCUAUCAGGAAAGUCUGUCCUGAAAACUCCUGGGAGGUUGAAGUAAUGAGCUUUCAAAAGCGCGAUUUUCGGCAUAACGAAAGUGAUGUUGUUUAUGGAAGCAGCGAGAUUGGUUCCGUUCACACAGGUCGGGCAAGCGUUAAUGCCUAGCCCGAUCGUGUAGAACAAUCUACGGUCGACUUUUAAAGGAACAAGAGCUGGAAAGUUUGGUGUGUUGAGACUCCUAAGCUUUCCGUUAUAGUCCAAAGCAAAUGAUGUGUCGUUAGGUGAUGGAAGCUUUGGUAAGAUUGGUAUGACCGUGUUUGGUACGCCUUUGUAUUGAAGGAUCGCGGUUGCGGUUUUGUUGUCUACGGAUACCGGAGCGUCCAUGAACGGACCAGCUGCCAUGAAGUAACGGUUUGGAGAACUGUCAGUUUUGACUAAAACGUUUGUGGUCUGACCUGGUCCGAUUAGAAUAAACUUGGUUGUGAAUGGUUUGGUGUAGACUGCAUCGAUCUCCACCACGGUCAUGUCGUGACCGGAAAUCCCGAAGAAUAGCUCGUCAUUUAGUGCAGCGUUGAUGAUCCUCAGAAGGUAUGUUUUACCGGCUUCCACCUCCACCACGAAUGUGUCUAUACAGAAACAAAUAUUUUAACUAAAAUGAUAUGAUCUGGUUUAGUUUAAUUAAAAGUUAACUAGAUGUUAUAAUAAUCUUGUUUUAAAAUAUGCAAUUUAUAUUAUUAUUUGUUUCUAUUCAAAAAAAAAGAUAUGAUCCGGUUAAAACCGGUUUUAUAAGGUUAAGAAGUUAUACGUUUCUCGGAACAUGGAAAGAGCGGUCCUGGUUUUCCGUUUAUGGUAUGAGCAUCUGACAUCGGAGGCGGUGCACCCAACUGGUUGGCUUGGUUAACCGCUGUCUCAACGUCUCCGUUCCACCAUUCUCCUAUAAACAAAGUUUUUUAAAAAAUAUGAGAAAAAGCCCGGUAAAUUUGAGCAGGCUAGACCAAACCGGUUUUAAUUAUAUUCACUAACCGAGGACUAUGUUGGUUUCUUGGUAUGGUUGUGGGAAAGGAUAUGGUUUUCCUGGUUGAGGCAAGAUGACAAUAGCUCCAUACACGGUGGCUCUUAGCCAGAGGAUGUGUGCAUGCCACCAGAGAGUCCCACGUUGUCCAGUCACGUUGAAAUCAUAAACAUAACUUUGUCCGGUCUGCAUCGGACAUUGAGUUAUGUACGCUGGACCAUCUGCCCAACCAUUUCGGUACUGUUUAAGUCCAUGCCUAUAAAAACAAAACGUUAAAAAAUUGGCUCACAAAAAAACAUAGACUAAACGGGUUUGAGACGUAGGAAAGAGAGAUUUUACCAAUGGAUGGACAAGUUGUAUUUUACGUGGUUGGUGACGUUGAUAAUGACUCGAUCACCUUCUCUUGCGUAAACCGUUGGUCCAGGGAACAUUCCAUUAACUGUGACAAUCGGUUUAGCAUUGCAUAACCGGCUUACGUUCUUCAUUUGAACCUGUUCAAAAUUUCAAACGUUGAUAUACAACAAAACCCUACAUAUAUAGUAAUAGUAUAACUCAACAAUAUAAACCAGGUAGUCAAACCAGUAUAUAGUUUAGGUUACGGUUUAUAUUCACCGGGAAAUCAAAUACGUACAUCGAAUUGGUACUUCUUCACCGCCGCAUCCACCGGAGAAUCGCCAAGAAACCCAAGAAGAUAAAAGAAAAGAAAGAGAAAACCCGGGUUUAGGAUCUUCAUUUCCGGUUCAAUCUUCCGGUAUAUGCAAUGAUCAGGUUUUAUUUGUAUUUAAACUUUUAUUGCUCUUGGUUAUACAAAUUGUAUUGUAGAUAUCGUGGCUGGUUACAAAUGCUUAUAUAAUGUCAUAGUGCAAACAAAAGGUGGUUGGUGAAUCUCUCAGAAUAUAUAAAAAUAAAAUUUCUUAGAUCUAUAAAAGAGAAUUGAAUAUGGAAAACGGAUUAAACUAUAUUAUUAAGAAAAUUUUGAAAAUAUAUAAUCGAAGAAGAAGGCUUUUAAGCAACUUUCUGAAAGACGUUGGCGAAUCAGCGUUACGUUUGUUAAUAAUAUGGAGUACCUUCGAAGUUGAUAUCUGAGCUUUAAAUUUAUAUUUUUGACUUUUUUGUUUACCAUGAAAAAUUAUAAAAUACAAAUAUUUCGGUUCAAGUCUCUCCAAUUCAAGAAAGUUUCUAGAUGCAUUCCAACACUUGUUUCGUUGUCCCAAAAACCCUAUAACUCAAAAUGAAGCUUUCUUAACAAAACAUCCUCAGCUCAAAGGCAUUAACUUCUUUUGAGAAAUUUAAUUAAAUUAUUUUUCGUAAGCCUAGUUUUAACCUUUUGAGAACUUAAUUAUUUUUUUUAGAAAUAGGUCGAUUGUUUAUAGAUUUUGAAGAUUGUCCCAGUAUACUUCAAUAUUAACACAUAACCCCUUAAAAUAUUACUAGGGAUUACAAGGCUAAUAUUUGAUUUUUGAAAACUCUCUUUGCAGUAACAUGUUGCUUAGCCAGUCGUUAAGUCUUGUAUAUUUAAAUUUUAUUGGCGUAAACAUUUGUUUGCAAAUAGUGAUGUGUUUGGGUAAGGGAAAAUGACUGGUCUUUGAAUCAUGUUAUUUUUUUGUAUAUCAAUUUUCCAACGAGAUCAUAUGUAUAAGUUUCAAAAAUUAAAUCUCAACCAACGUAUUUUAAUAUACACGUACGGAAGUUGGCCAAUUUAUCAGGAAAUUACGCUAUUGACUGGUCAUUUUAUACAAAUUUGUUGAAUUGUCCAAAAGCCCAUAUGUAAAACAAUAAGAUCUCAUUUUCAUACUAAGUAAACCCAAUUGAGGUAAUCUCCACAGGCCGAAAUGGGAUGUACUGCUAGUAUGACAUACAAUCUCCAUCUAGUUUUAUAUACUCAUCAUACACACACAUUUAAUUAGUUUUAAUUCUUGAUAUAUAUGAUUUAUCACUCAUUAAAAAUAAAAGGUACUGCAGAGCUCCUUUGCUUCUAAGUUUCUUAGUUUCUGAAUACAUUGGGAGGUCGAUUAGUGAAACCACAAGUUUUUAAAAUGAAACCAGAAGAAGAAGUAUUAGGCUUGACGAUAGAGGUUGACAUUAGCGAAUAAGCGAUAUUUUUUAGAAGUUAUUUAUAUAUGGAUUAAGAAUAAAGCAUUCGCUUUGUUUUUUUACACUUAUUGGUGAUCAUCAUCAUUCUACGGCGUCAACACAGUCAUAAAAUAUGGUUAUAUUGGGGAAAUAAUUCUUAGUUAAAUAACCAAGCUGAGGAUAGAUUUUAUAAAUGAGUCAUAAAAUAUGGUUAUCUAGGGGAAAUAAUUCUUAGUUAAAUAACCAAGCUGAAGAUAGAUUUUAUAAAAUGCCUCAAAGAUGAGGAUAAGGAUCUUCCCAUUAAAUUUUUUAACUUGUCUUUGGAGCUUUACGAACUUUCCAUUUCCACAAUUUAUUCGUCACUUUAUGUCCAACUACUUUUUGGAAGUCGGCUAGAUGGUCCAUUAUGGGAUGGUUUUAUAUAUAACUUGUUGGCGGAAAACCGAUCUGAGUAUUGGUUUAUUUGCUCUAUAAAUAGAUAAACAGAUUUAGACGGACAAAUUAAGUGAGUUACUAUUUAAAGUAGGUUAAAUUUACCGAUUAGUAAGUUCGUUUUCGUUUCAAGAAAGCAUACAACUGAUAAAGACUUUAGCUAUAAAUGCGAAAUUGGUUUGUUUACCAAUCGGGUUGCUUAUCCUAGAUCAAAUAAAUUUAUGCAUGAGUGGUCAUGAAUCUAAGAAAAAAUAUAUGUCAAAUCAAAAUAUUUUCAAACAUCACAAUUUUUAGAACUUUUGCUUACUAUUUAAUGUUUUUGACAAAUUUGGAUUAUGGAUUAGGAGAGACAGCACAUUUCUUUUGCAAAAGCGAAUUAUGUCGUAUUAACGUGACACUAGUAAUGUAUAGCAAAGGCCCAUCAAUGGCAUAGUGACAGAUUCGUGUUAUAAUAAAUUAGCAAUUCUACCAGGUUCUCAUUUUGCCACGUACUAUAUAAUUUAUAUAAUCCACUUUGUUUAACCUCUGCUAUUUUUGCUUUAUCUUUUAUCCUCUUUUAUCCAAACGAUAUUUGAAAUACUAGGGUUACGUGAAUUGCAAAAGUGACUACAAUAGCGACUUCUAUGAAAAGAAACAUGAUAGGAUGACAAGUUUUUCAGGAGAUAAUCGAUACUUUAUUUGUCAGGGCCAUGCAAAUAACUAUUUUAGUUCUUGGGGAUAUGGACAAAUAUGCAACUUUGAAGAAAAUAUAUAUAUUUACGGGAUAUAUGUGUUAUGAGGGUUAUAUAGUGAAUCUUUGAUCUAUACAUUUUUCACUUAUCUCUCAUUUUGUUAUAGAAAAUACUGAUUAAUAAUUUAAACAACCGACUAAUCGCAGUAUUUGUAUUAUUGAUGGGAAACAGAAAGAAAUUCAAAACAACGUAUGAAUUGCUGUUUUAUUAGUGCCAACUUAUAGACCAAAUAAUAGAGAAAUAGUGCUCCACUCGUGUGAGGGCCAUUUUGGGAUUGUGCUAUCAGUUAGAAUUUAGCUGAAUGCAAAAAUAAGCAAAGGCCAAAAAGUGGUACACACGAAUGGCCACGUUUCUCACGUGCCUGAUUAAACUUUCUCACUAAAAAUAUCUCUGAAAGAAAGAGAUCCACGUUAUAACAAAAAAAGCAGAACGUAAGAAAGGAUUGUAAUAGAAGAAGAGAGAGGUAACCAAUUGUAGUAUUUGUCUAUAAAAACAAUUUUUCCUUUGACAUCAUAAGAAUCAGUAACAAACUUAGAGAAAAGGUUUAGACUUUGACAAUGGAGGAUGCAGGGGAGAAAAUUAGAGAGAUGACAAAGGAACACAGUUCAAGGUUUAAGAGCAUUUGCGUCUUUUGUGGGAGUAGCAAUGGCAAGAAAGUUAGUUAUCAAGAUGCAGCCAUUGAUUUAGGCAAAGAAUUGGUAAAAAUAUAUUGCAUACGAUCUUUUUUCUUCAUGUUUCUUUUUCUUUCAUUUUCACCUGUUGAGAUCUCUUUAUAUUUUUUUCUGGUAAAAAGAUCUCUUUAUAUUUUUGAAGAAAUUAUUUAUUUUUUAUAUAUGCUAUCAGCUGAUCCGGUCAUUUUUAUAACGCUGGUAUUUAUAUUUGUAAAUUAUUCGUCACAUUCAUCUGGUAGUGUGUAAAACAAUUGCAUUUAUCUACAAGAACAUCAUGAGGGUUUAAAAAAGAAGAUUGAGUUCUAUAAAAUUAGUGAAGAGUUUAUACGUCAAUUAUUGUUUUUUUUUAAAUAGGGAAAAGACAAAGUUUAGGUUUCGAAACUUUGAUUGUCAGGUGGCGAAGAACGUUGAUCUUGUUUAUGGUGGAGGGAGCAUAGGUUUGAUGGGUUUGAUCUCUCAAGCUGUUCAUGAUGGUGGUCGUCAUGUUAUUGGGUAAUAAAUGGCACAUAAUUUACAUCAUUGAUUUUUUUUUUACCGAUGAUGAAAUAAAUGUAUGUUUUUAAUCCUAUGAUGCAGAGUAAUCCCAAAGCUCCUCAUGUUGCAAGAGGUACGUAUUUGUUGACUUAUUUAUGAGAAAAUGGGAGGAGUAAUGAUAAUGGUGGUGAUAUAACUUAUGCAUUUUGUUAACUUAUUUCUCACAAAAAAAAAAAAGAUUACUGGAGAGACAAUAGGAGAAGUGCGGGAAGUUGCAGAUAUGCAUCAGAGAAAAGCUGAGAUGGCUAAGAAUUCUGAUGCUUUCAUUGCUUUACCUGGUAAAUAUUAUUUGUUUAACCUCUUUCUCUUUUUUCUAUUGCAAUUAAUAUCAUUUUGAAAAAUUCAAAACAUUUUUGAUAAUUCAUUUGUGAAAACCUUGCCACUAAAUUUUGAGUUACAAACAAAAAAUUGAGUUACAAUGAAAUGUUCAUAACAAGACAUCCAUUUUCCUUACGAAUAUAUAUGGAUUCGGACUCACAUGUUUACACAUGUACUAACUAAAAUACAAUAUGAUGAAGUAAUUUUAGCAUUGUUAUUAUUGAUAAUUUUGGUGAUGAUCUCUAUAAGUAUGUUUCAAAAGUUAGUUUGAAUUUAGGUUCAGAAUUUCUCAAUUAUAGAUUAAAUAAACAUACGUGAUUGUUGGUGUUCACUGAAUUUCUUGAAAGUUAAUUAGUUAGAUGUGUGGUGUUUUGUUUUUUUCCUACCUACAUUUAUGUAUUUAGUGCUCUAAUAUUGUUUUUUUCAUUAUACAUAACACUUUUCUUAAACACUUUUCUUUAAGAAGUGCGUUUAAUGAUAUGUAACAUGUGGUUGAUAUGAUAUAUGGAAGAUCCCAGGCCUCAAAUAAUUAAAAAAAAUCACGAUAAAUAGCUUUAAAAUAAAUUGAAUUUUCCUUUUGAUCCAUCAACAUCCAAAAGCAGUGGAAUUUAUAUGUCGACGACAAGGACACCUAUUUCUUAUCCAAUCGGAAAUAUUUUAAAGGACGCACAAGUGAUUUGAUUUUAAUAAACUUUAAGUAAUUUUAGUUAAAUUUGAAAAUUUGGUAUGAUUUUUGUUAACUAUUUUAGAAUUUUAUUUUAAAUUAGGAGAAUUAGAUUUUUAUUUUUAUAAUUAAGAAACUCUUUUCAAACACACUAAAACACUUGAAGUAUUCUAAAAUCUACAAUUUAAAUUUUGUUCAAUAAUAGUAGAUUCCAAAACACUUUAUAAAAUUAGUAUUACCAGAUAAAGUUAGUAUACUGUUAUAUAAAGUUUACGAGAGCGAAUAUUUGGAGAGGGACAGAUUGAGAUUAUGUAGCAAUUUGUAAUGAUCAUCACUAGUGCACUAACCUUUGACCUUUGACUUUAAAAGUACCAAAGACAUAUUAGAGGUCAAAAAUGAAAAAAAAAGGGAUGAACUAUCUACCAAAAAUUUACCAUUCAUGCCACUUUAGCAAUUGAAACAAGUCCUCACUGUCAUCAGGUGGCUAUGGUACACUAGAGGAGCUACUUGAAGUGAUAACUUGGGCACAACUUGGAAUCCAUGAUAAACCGGUAUGUAAAUCGGGUUAGUUUGUUUACAAGACACAUACUAGCAUUAACCGAUGGAUUGAUUGAUAUAAUAUAAGUUUUUUUUUCUCGCAGGUCGGUUUAUUAAACGUUGAUGGAUAUUACAAUGCUUUGCUAUCCUUCAUCGACAAAGCGGUCGAAGAAGGAUUUAUUCUUCCAGCCGCUCGACAUAUCAUCGUAUCCGCGCCAACCGCAAAAGAGUUGUUUGAGAAAUUAGAGGUAAAACCGAUAGAAGUUACAUUUAACCCUAAACAUAUUCAAAUCUCCUUCUGGCGUAGGACUAAUUUUGGUUUGAUAUUUGGUAGUCAAGCCACUGAAUAGAAUAUGUAAACAAGUUUUUCUAAUUGAAAACGCUAAUGUAAGUCCAAGUUCGGUUUAACAAUACUGAUCAUGUUGAUUGGUUUAUUGCAGGAAUACGUGCCUCAUCACAACAAGUAGACACAUCAAAUUUGAGUUUCGAGACGAGUCAUAAUGAAAGUGUUGAAAAUUUGAUAUUUUUCCGAUGAUUUACGAUUGAUUAUUUAUUAUAAAAAUCAAAGUUCGGAUUGAAAUAAAGAGCAUACAUUGUAAAUAUGUUUUCUGAAUUUUGUUCACGCAAUAUCUGAAAUUUUGUAAUAUACUAUAAAGUAAAGAAAACAUACUAUAAAGUACGUAUAAGUGCAUUAUGUUUUAAACUAUAGUGAGUUUAUAUAAGUCAUGUAAUUUUUUUUUUUUUUUUUGUAACCUAAGUCAUGUAAUUCAAUACGCAAAUGUUUAAAAUCUUCUGAACAAGGUCUCACUGAUGCUAAGGUUGUGUUGUAUUAGGACGAUGCAACAUAACUUGUACAUUCAUCCAAACAAAAUAUCGGAUAAACUUGUUGUAUGAUGUUCAAUAAGGUGUCACAUGUUAUCGCAUGCACAACAAGGUCAAUACGAACGCGUUUCAUGUCUACUACCCUCGUUAUUGGGCUGACAUAGAAACAAAUAUAAAUCUUUACUGGGCCUUAGUUUCCAAGUUCGUUCCGUUUUCUAUGAAAACGUAUCCACUCCCUGCCGUUUUACAUCAGUCCUUAAGUAUAGACACUACGCAGCGUUUUAACGGAAGAAGAAACAUUCACCGUCUUGCAAAAUAUCUCCGACUCGAAUAGUUUCGUCGCUGCGUCCCGUUGGUGCCUUGAAGAGAUGACCAUGGCGGCAGCAACCUUCGCGAAACGCCUGAUCGGAAGCCGAUCUAGCUCAACCGCAGCCACUUCCUUCGCCAGAGCUUUCUGCUCGUCCACCACUCCAAUCACCGCAACCAUGUUCCCCGGAGACGGGAUCGGUCCCGAGAUCGCCGAAUCCGUCAAACAGGUUUGGAUUACAUAUACGAUUAGUCAAUUGCAGUUUGAUAUAAAUUUGUUUGGUGAUGAUGAUGAUCGAAGGUGUUUACGACGGCUGGAGUGCCGAUUAACUGGGAAGAGCACUACGUCAGCGCCGAGAUCGAUCCGAGAACGCAGAGCUUCUUGACCUGGGAGAGUCUCGAAUCCGUGCGUAGGAACAAAGUCGGUUUGAAAGGUCCGAUGGCGACUCCGAUCGGGAAAGGCCACCGUUCUUUGAAUCUGACUCUUAGGAAAGAGCUGAAUCUGUACGCUAACGUUAGGCCUUGCUAUAGUCUUCCUGGCUACAAGACUCGUUACGAUGAUGUGAAUCUAAUUACUAUUAGGGAGAAUACUGAGGGAGAGUACAGUGGGCUUGAACAUCAGGUUUUUUGAAAUUUUUGAGGAAUUGUUUUUUGUUAGAAUUGUUUUUUUUUUUUAAUUUUAUGGAGUUGUGUUGUUAUAAUAGGUUGUUAGAGGUGUGGUGGAGAGUCUUAAGAUCAUUACGCGUCAGGCGAGUUUGAGAGUUGCUGAGUAUGCUUUUCACUAUGCUAAGACUCAUGGGAGAGAGAGAGUUUCUGCUAUUCACAAAGCUAAUAUUAUGCAGAAGACUGACGGUCUUUUCCUCAAGGUCUGCCCAUUUUCUUAUAAGGAGAUCAAAGCUUUGAUGAUUAUUAGCGUCUGCUUAGUCUUUUUUACUAAUGGUUUAUUUUCUUUUGCAGUGUUGUCGUGAGGUUGCUGAGAAGUAUCCUGAGAUAACUUACGAAGAGGUUGUUAUUGACAACUGCUGUAUGAUGGUAAGCUACGACUCCAAAUUUACCAUUUUCAAUUGGUUAGUGAUCUAGCUUGCCUUGAUGAUUUUGGAAGCUAGUUUUCACAAUCACUUGUACUUUGACUUUGGUUUUAGCCACUAAUUUUAUUUGUGGAACAAGUCUAUUCUUACUUAUAUAUGUUAUUGAAUAUGUGACUAAGAGUCUUGAGAUGCCCUGCAGCUUGUGAAAAACCCAGCACUGUUUGAUGUAUUGGUGAUGCCAAACCUGUACGGUGACAUUAUCAGUGACUUGUGUGCUGGAUUGGUGGGAGGAUUAGGAUUGACUCCAAGGUAAAACAUAGGUUCCUUCAUCUUUAUUGUUUAAUAUGAGUAUGAACUGAUUAUCUUAUCUUUGACGCAGUUGUAAUAUAGGGGAAGAUGGUGUAGCCCUAGCUGAAGCAGUUCAUGGUUCUGCACCUGAUAUCGCUGGGAAGGUUAGUCCUCAAAACACUUGAUCAUUCAAAUUUUAUAGAUACUCUCAGACUUUUUCAUUGCUACAAAGUGACAAUUGUCCCAACUCUGACCAUAUGAGAAAGUAGGAUAAAAAAGCUGCCACGGAUAAAAUAUUAUAUAAACAUUCUAUCAGUUAUUUUAUUGGUAGCAUAGUCAGAUGGUUACAUGGGUUAAUCUAUGGAUCCAAUGUUGAAAGAUUAUAAAAUGAUUUUCAAAUUACCUUGUUUUUGGAUAUGCUGUUCUUAUUGUGUUGGGGGGUAAAUGAUGUACAGAACUUGGCGAACCCAACAGCGUUGCUACUGAGUGGAGUGAUGAUGUUGCGUCACCUGAAGCUGAACGAACAAGCAGAACAAAUCCACAGCGCAAUCAUCAACACCAUAGCAGAGGGCAAAUACAGAACGGCAGAUCUUGGAGGUAGUUCGACCACCACGGACUUCACAAAAGCAAUCUGUGAUCAUCUCUGAACAAUCGUAAAAAAAUCUCAAUUCUUUAACGAAUCUUCCUUCGAGGCUUGAGCGUUUAUUAGCCUCUGAGAUUCUUCUUGUUUUCCUCGUUUUACGAUAAGAAUAAAACAGGCAAUUGCUUUUGAAGUUACAUUGUUUCUUCUGCCUCUAAAACGUCUUUUAAAAAACUUAGAUUCAUAGCACAGAAACAGCUGUGUUGUUCUGUAAUCAAUCAGAAGAGUUUUGUUUUUCUUGCUUUAAUAUUACAAACUUGUCUAUGUUCUUCACAUCAAACUUGUUAGUAUUAUUUUUUUGACUGAGGAAAAUAAAUCAAAACUGAAUGAAAUGGCAUAAUUGCUCGGACUGCAAAAGAGCAGAGCCUGCCGAGAGAAUGACUUUGUAGUCCAACACUAAAAAGAUAUAACAAUACAUAAAAAGGAAAGAUAAUAUUGUCGUUGGUGUACCCAACUCUCAGCUCUAUGAUUAUAAACACUCAAACUCUGCACUCACCACUAAACCACUUGCGGCACCAACACAAGAUCUGAAUCUAAGCCUCUCUCUCUCUUGUCAUAUUCGUCAUCAUGGCUUCCUCUAACUACGACGGAGUCCUCCUCGGAAUGAGUAACCCACUCCUCGAUAUUUCUGCCGUCGUCUCGUCGAUGAAGAGUUUCUCACCAAAGGAGAGAAGCUGGUUGACACCAACGGUGCAGGUACUCAUUUGAUAACCUAACCAAACCUCUUACAUUACUAGAGAGAAAGUAACAUGAGGAUAUUAUAAGCUGAUUCUUAUCAUCCUCAAGCAAUUUUUCUUUCUUUCUCAGUAGUGAUCUCAAACAUUAGCUUCUCUUUGCAUCAAAUUUACUCCAAAACAAAACAUUAGCUUCUCAGUGUCGCAUAAUAAUAUGAAUACUAACUGCCAUUUUUGUUGACAUCACUCAUAGGUGACGCUUUUAUGGGAGGAUUCACGUCACAGUUGGUGAAAGAGAUAUCGAUUGAGGAGUGUGUGAAGGAGGCUGGAUGCUAUGCGUCCAACGUGGUACUCCAAAGAUUUGGCUGCACUUAAUCUGACAAGCCUGACUUCAACUAAAUUGAUAGUAGGCCAUCCUCAGUUUUGUGAUAUCUUCUAAAUAAAAAUAAGUAUUUUUUAUUCAACAAACUCUCACGACGAGUGUUCUUUUUGGAUUUUUUAACCACCCUUGUAUUACCAUAAUCAUUUAUAAUUAAUAUCAUUAAUAAAAUAUAUGUCGAGAAAAAAUGAAAAAUAUAUCAAUAUAUCAGCUACUAACUGAAAAUGGCUCAUAUUACAAGAGUGUUCAUUAAUUCUAUAUAAUAUCUCGAAGGACCAUCUCACAUCAGCAAAAAAAAGAGAGACUAAACCGUAGAACAUUGAAUGAGAGACUCAUCAUCAAGACCAUGAAUUACGGGGAGAAGCGUUUUGGAGGACCUCAAGGAAGAGAGUUUCAUCGCAAGAGAUACAAAGCUUGGAAUCUCCCGAAGUGAAAUCAUCGUACACUUCGUCUUUUGAUUGAUCAAGCAAAGCUCUGAUGAUGGGAUCGUGAAGCAGCGUGAUCUUGAUCACGAAUCUCUUGUAACUCUCCUCUUCUUUGCCUACGUACACCACUAGGUGUCCUUUUGGUACAUCAUGGGGUAUAUGAGGUUCCUCCCCAGCGGCCUUGUGCUUGGCUACUCUGGUAGACAUGUGCUUCCAUGCCUUUGUGAUCAGCUUGCUCUUCUUCAUCAUGUUGUUAGAGAGUGAGAUGAGAGAGAGAGAGAGACGUUUUAGCUGCGGGGUUAGUGUGAGAUGAAAUGUAAAGAGGUACUAGUGUCGUACGUGUAUAUAUAUACACAAAGUCACAAACAUAGGUCCACUAUAUAUUUUUGUGUAUAUAUUACAUGGAUGAAUAAGUACGGUUAAUGAUAUGUUUGGACCAUGUCGUCGUCUUUUUCAAUAAUACAUUAUCUACAUUUUUCUUUUGAUAAAGAUCUACAUUAGUUACUUAUCCUGAACAUUGUUCCAUUAUGUACUUAUACUACCAAGAAAUAUAUCAGAUUAAUAUGUCGAACGUACGUUAAGAUAUAUAUCUUGUACAUUAAAUAUAUGUUAACCUGAUUAUAAUAAGUUUUUUACUUUGUGAUGAUCGAUGAUAUAUAUGAUCAAUUAUCGUAAUUUGAGGGAUUGGUUUACCAGGACGUUACCAGGACGACUGUUAGUAACUAUAUACAAAGUACUUAACUAUUUUUGCCUGGUGAGAGACAAUUUAAAUCGUACAUAAAACAUUAUCAUAUCAUAUGACACCUACUUAAAAUCAGAAACUAAUACAAAAAUUUGUGUCGUUUUUUAUCAAGUCAACUACGGCCAUGCUGUACUUUGACAUACGAAAUCGUACGAACAUGCAUCUUGCCCUUUCCCAAUGGACUCACCCUUUAAUAAUUGCUUCACUUGGUUUAUUAUUUUGUCUUUUUAAUUUUUAUCGGCAUGGCACAUUGGCACUCAGCUAUUGCGCAACUAAAGAUAAUAUUAAUCUAUAUGUGUGUGAGUUUGCCCAUAAUACACACAGGAGACCGUAAAUGCUGUACACGCAUCUCCGUUUAUAGACAGGUAUGCUUAAUUAGUGGUAGACUCACUUUAAUUAGGUUAUUGUUCAUUUUUAAUCUUAUUUUCAAAUCCAAUUUAUAAACAUUUUGGUACCAUUUUCAUUAAAAGUCAAACAAAUAAUGUUAUUAAUACAAGUCAGAUGCGAACAAAACAUAUAUAUAUAUAUGCAAAUAUCUUCAAUUGGUCCUACUUAUUUCCAAAGUAAGAAAUAACAUAAUCUAAUAUAUUAAUGAUAUAGGACUAUUCUAUGCAUUGUCAACUAACUGAUUUUGAGUUGAAAGUUCAUACCCACAAAUCGGGUGAUUCAUAUAGUUUUGUUAAUUUUUAUUAUCUAAAUAUUAAACAAAUAACUAAACGCAUAGACAUAAAUACUUUGGUUUUUGAUAAAAGAGGAGAUGCAUUUUUCUUGAAGCUGUGAAAAACUGAAAAUAGAGUGGGUCCCAUGGCUUGAUUAAAUGUAGGAGAAAGAUAAGAUCUAAAAGAGAUGACAGACGAGAUAAGAUUCUUGGACAAAGUGCAAUUCGAUUUGUGUAAUCAUCGGAAAUGUGGAGUUUAAAAGCAUAUUAAAUUCUAAAUUUGUAAGAUUAUGAUGUAUUCAUAUAAUAUAUACUCCACAAAUUAAAAAGAAAAUAUUUAUAAAUUGAAGUUAAACUGACACUGUUAUUUAAUUCGAACGGCCAAUUUGUUUAGUUGGAUUUUAGUAUUUUACCAUUGUGGUGUGUCACUUGCAGUUACCAAAAAUCAACUUAGUGCUAAAAUAUCACAAUUAUCAAACUGCUUAAUGAAUUUAAUCCGAACCGAUUUGUAGUGCUGGAUUUCACCAUCGUAAUGUGUCACUGGUGAUUACCAAAUUUUUAACAUACAUGAUACACCUAUAGUAUUGUAUACAUCAUGGCACCAUGGCGCAAGCAUGGUUAAUAGUGGCAAAAGGCUGUCUACCAUUAUCUACAUUUUUAUAUAUUUUUGACGGUCGAUAUAUUAUUACUUUUUGAGAUUUCUUUUUAUAAAAUGAAUAUGGUGGAUAUUUUUUUAAAAAGAAUACUGUGGAUAUCUAAUAUUUAUUUAAAAAGAUGAAUAUGGUGGAUAUCUAAUAUUUACGCAUAACCGUUUGAUAUUUUACGAAGAAAAAAUGUUAUAUUUUUUUUACAAUUUUUUAUAUCUAGGAUUGUAUACAUGUAGUAUGCAUAUGUUUUGUUACGUAGUACUACAAUAUUACGCAUAACCCAAGUGGCCUUACGAAACUGUAACAAACAAACAAAAACAAAGUGUCAUUUUCAUGCAUGCAGGAUCCGGACAUGGAGUUUUCCGUGAACAAAUACCCUUAAUUAAAUUUUUCUUCAAACAGAAAUAAGAAUAUAUUUUCAAAAAUUUUACCGAAAAAUAUAUGUUCAAAAAGGCGAUUUGUCUGUUCUUUUAAAGUUAAAAUUAAGUUAAAAUCUCCGGUGCAGAAAGCGUCCUUACUGCAUGAUACCACGAUACAAUAAUUUGAUCGAUCCGUACUUUCUUGAUUUCAGUACUAGUCAGUUGAUUGGUCUAGUGUUAUUCUCAUGUCACCAAAUCUCUUAGUGUAAAUAUUAACUUCCAUGAAAGUCAGCGGUACAAAAUAUUACUCCCUCCCAUUUUAAUACUUAACCUUUUAGAAGAAUUUUCUUUUGUUCCAAUCCAAAUUACAUAAGUUAUUAAUUUUCUAUGUAAAAUAUGUUAAAAAUUUAUGAUAUAUGAUCAAUGAUAUUAUGGUUAGAAGAAUAAUUAAUUAUGAUUUUGUUUAGAAUAUGUAAGAAAUUAAUACAUUAAUAAUUUAUGUAAUUUUAAUUUAUAUGCACAAUUCAAAAACAUCAUCUAUUAAAAACGAAUUGAGUAAAAAUAAUAAAAAAGAAAAUGAUAUGAAUCUUUGAAAUAUCUAAUACUUAUGUUAUAUAAUUGGCAUAAAAUCAUUAUACUGAUUAAUAACUACAUUUGGUUUGAAAAUUCAUGUGCACUCACACAAAAAGUUCAUUUCACAGACGUUCUCUGUUAUAAUAUCAGGAAAAAACAAAAACAAAAACAAAACAAAAAACUUUUAGUUACAUUUUCAAUUUCGUCGAGUUAUAACACAUGAAUCACAUCUAUAUUAUUCUAAAAUGCUACUGGAAUAUUUUAAAGCUGGCAGUAUUCAUUUUUUGUGUGUUGGAGAUUCCGAGACGGCCAGUUUCAUCCCCCCUAAGGGACAGGCAGGUGCUUCAUCCCAUAGCUUCUGCGUCUUUUUUUUUCUUUUUUGGACAAAGCUUCUGCGUCUCUCUUUAAGGAAACGAGAGAUUAUUAUAAAUUCAUAAUCAGCCCAACGUUCGGAAAUAUAGAUUCAUUCCUCGCUGUUCGACACUGCUACUCCACGUGCAAUUUAAUUGUAACCAGAAACCUACAAAAUUUCUCUUGACGAAGGUUCAUUGUGGUUAACUCACCGUCCUGGGGACAUAAAUAUCAAAAUCAUAACGAGAAGAGUGUAGCAAAAUGUGUAGGUAAAGAGUGAAGGGUUAAAUACUUUUUCUUAUUUUACAUCUCGUAUCGUAUAUUAUGGGAAAGAAUAUAUUAUUAUUCACUACUGAGCUGUCUAGCUGGUGGCAGUAUCGUGUAGGGUAUCACCCUAGUCCAUUUUGGAUUGCAUGCAAUGUAAUGGGCUAUAAUGAAGAAAAAAGUGAAGUUACAGUUUGUUCAUUGCCAAAAUAGUCCAUCAAACUUUGCAUGAGCUAGGUUAUCUCUUUGAUUUUUUUUUUUUUUAAAUAUCUAUAGUUAAAAAAAUAUUUCUUGUGACAAAAAAGUGAAGCUGUUCUUACAAAACAAAAUUUACUUUCAUUAAUUAUUAUUUUAUUUAUACAUAUAUUUAUGUAAGACAUAUAAUUGGAUUGCAAAUUUUUUUUAUAUAGAUUAUAUAAAUAAAUAAAUAUCUAUAUAUAUAUAUAUAUAUGUGUAUAUCUGUCUGAAAGCAUAACUAAGUAAAUUAUAUAUAUAUAUAUUUAUAUAUAUAUAUAUAUUUAUAUGUGUUGUUUGGAUAAUUUUUAUGUUUUAAAAUAGAGAUCUAUGUUUUGUAAUAGAUUGGUGCACAAAAAAGAAGUUUGUAAUAGAAUUUUAUGUAUAAAUAUGUUUAUUUUGGAAUCACCUUUUAAUUAUUAAAUAUAAUUUUAUAAAUGAUUAGAAAAUAAAUAGUAAAUCUUAUAUUAGAAAAAUCAAAAAUCUAAUUUUUUUCUUUCAAUUUCAUUAAAAAGAAAAUUAAUUUAGAAUACUAAUAAUUUGAGAUUUACACUGCCGCCAAAUAAUCUUUUUUAUGUUUAUUUUUUUUAAGUUUUUGCUCGCAAUGAUGAAUUAAGAGAAACUAUGGAGUGGACUAUGAAGUCGUCUUUGUUUGCUAAGCAGUCAAUAACUUUGACUUUCUUUACUCUGAGUCGUCGUCGUCGUAGACUCGUAGUCGUCUUCUUCUUCUAGCUUUUAGUCCUAAAUUUAUUUAUUUUUUUCAGCUCCCCGAUCCAGUUUUGCUACUUCGCUUCUUCGUUUCUCUAUUCAAUUUGUUCAACUUCUGAACAAAGAUUUUGUUUGUGAUCCUACACAAAGAUCUCAAAGGUGAGUUAUAAUUUUCUUGACGAGAUUCAUAAUUCUUUUCAAUUGUUGUUUAGGGAAGAAGAAAUGUAAAGGUUUAUCCUUUAUUGGGGUUUAGUAUAUAAAUGAACCAACUUUGUGAUUGCUUGCAAGCAGGCAAUAGCUUCCCCUGUUUUUUUAAAUUUAGGAUUCGUUGCAAACUUUGAAUGGAUGUUCUGUGUUUUGUAAUAUUGUGAAGUAGUUUGGUUUCCAUGGCGACAAACUCUGUUUUUGAUUCUGUUUUGUUUGGUUGGUUUCAGUGGAGAAGCCACGUGGAUGUUUUAAUCUCUUUGAGAGAAUGAAGUGUUUCUUAUUCCCUCAUGCUGACAAGAAAGAUGAACAGAGGAGUCCUAAACCGGUUUCACCCCUCUCUGACCGUGCUGGAUUAACCAAAACCGGUUCAGAUAGCUCUGGAACCAGCACGGUAUCAUCAUCCAACCCGACCUUGCCCACUAGAGAAAAUAGCCUCAGAGAGUUCACAGUUGCUGAUCUCAAAUUCGUUACAAGGAACUUCAGCCGCUCUGUUAUGAUAGGCGAAGGCGGUUUCGGUUGUGUCUACUGGGGCACCAUCAAGAGCCUACAAGACCCUUCAAAGAAAAUCGAAGUCGCUGUUAAGCAGCUUGGCAAGAGAGGCUUGCAGGGUCAUAAAGAAUGGGUGACGGAAGUGAACUUUCUCGGGGUAGUGGAGCAUCAAAACUUGGUGAAACUGUUGGGUCAUUGCGCAGAAGACAAUGAACGUGGGAUUCAAAGGCUUUUGGUUUAUGAGUAUAUGCCAAACCAAAGCGUUGAGUUCCAUUUAGCUCCAAGUUCACCCACUGUGCUUACUUGGGACCUCAGGUUGAGAAUAGCUCAAGACGCAGCUCGGGGUUUAACAUACCUCCAUGAAGAAAUGGACUUUCAAGUAAGGAACAUGAAACUCCUCUGUUUUGUUUUCUUUUCAUCAGUUAAACUAUAAACCUGUUUCGAUUUUGUAGAUAAUAUUUAGAGAUUUCAAGUCAUCCAACAUUUUACUAGACGAGGAUUGGAGAGCAAAGCUUUCAGAUUUCGGUUUGGCUCGGUUAGGUCCUGCACCAGGAUCAACUCAUGUUUCUACUGGUGUAAGUUUAUGUGCAUUUCACUUCAUUUGGUUAUAGAAAUCAUCACCGACAUAUCGAGCAUAACCGUCUAAUAGCAUGUGCAAAUGGAACGGUUGAACAGAAUCCAAAUUUAAAUUUAAAAUAAAUAUGGAAAUUAUGGUCUAAAACAUUAAUAUUUUAGAUGUACUACUAAAUUUUGAGCUUAUAAUUUCAAAGGAAACGUCAAACAUAUAUAGAUUGAGCUAUUAGUUUUGUAAAUAUACUUUGUUACAUUGUUAAAUAUACAGUUAACAUAUUUUGAACAAUACUUAGAAAUAGUUUGAGACAUCACUGAUAUCUUAGCAAGUUGUUUUGGUUUCUUGGUUUGACAGGUAGUAGGAACAUUGGGCUACGCAGCUCCAGAAUAUAUCCAAACCGGUCGUCUCACAUCAAAAAGUGACGUAUGGGGUUAUGGAGUUUUCAUGUAUGAGCUCAUUACAGGAAGGAGACCUCUAGACAAGAACAUGCCUAAAGGAGAGCAAAAGCUUUUAGAAUGGGUGAGACCUUACUUAACCGACACUAAGAGGUUUAGGCUCAUUAUAGACCCGAGGCUUGAAGGCAAAUACUCGAUUAAAUACGUCCAGAAACUAGCGGUUGUAGCCAACCUUUGCCUUACUAGGAACUCAAAGGCACGUCCAAAGAUGAGUGAGGUGUUGGAGAUGGUGACAAAGAUUGUUGAAGAUUCUUCGUCUAGGAAUGGUGGUAAGAAGAGGCAGAUGGUUCCGUUGAGGAGUCUAGGAGCUUCUAGAGCUGAGGAAGAGAAGCAGAAGAAGGUGGUUCUUGAUGGUGGCGAAGGAGGUUGGUUAGAUAAAUUAUGGAACCCAAAGAAUGUGAGAGCUUGUUGAUUGGGGUAAAGUUUAAUACAACUUUAGUACAUUGUAGCCUUUGCUUAUUUUUGUAAUUCAACAAAUUCAAAUGUUUUCUGUUUUGCUAAUUUAAUAUUUGUAGCUUAAAUGUUGGUGUGGGGUUUUCAUAUUGAGCAUAUAACUGAUUAAUAUUAAAAAAAAGACAUAUAACUAUGUUUUGUCUGAUUUAAAUUAAUGAUUGUUAUUAGUAAAAUUUAUAACAAUUUCAUUAGAGAUAUUUCAUUUAUAGCCGCGACUAAUUAUCAUCAAAAUACAUAAGAUAUGAAGUUUUAUAACAUUUCUUUGCAGUGGUGUCUUGUGUUCUCCAAAUUUUAUAACAAUUACACGAUUGAUAACCAACAUUUAUUUGUUACCAGCAAUUAUUUUAACAAAUAAUUUGCAUAACACAAGGUUCUAGACAUUCCAAGUGUCCGCUUUUGCAUAAUCUUCACCAUUGUUAGUUGACUAAGCUAAGUUCUUAUAUUUGAUAAGCUUUCAAUGUGUUUAGUUCAUCUUCUUCUAGGAAAAAAAAACACUAGAGAAAUAUAGUUGCAACUAUAAAACGUGCUAAAUCAAUAGUUGAGACUAGACAUUCCAAUCCACCAGCAAACGGCUUAAAUCUUCCAUUUCUGGAUCAGGAUAGGGUCGAGCAUGCAUUAUGCCUACUAUCUAUCAUCAUGUAGUUUUAAAUGAUUCGUAUAAAAUAACAGAAGCAAAAGGAGGCACCAAUCAAACUCUGAAAAAAACCUUGCUGCAUCUAAAAGCAUAUUUCGGUUUGCUACAUCUACAUAUAAAUCGAGUAUUAAUGUUUUAUUUAUAUAUUUAUAUCCAUGUAUUAAGAAGUUUUAAUAAAUUAAUUGAUAAAAAAUUAAAACUAUGUCAAUGUACCAUAAAAUAUAGUUUAAUAAACAUUAAUACAAAUGUAGAAUGUAUUUAGAAAAUUUAAAACAAUACUAAAGAUCAUAUGCUUAACACAUUUAAUGCUUUUUAAAAAUUUCUAAACACAUUGUACAUUUGUAUUUAUGUAUAUUAAACUUUUUUUCAUGGUACAUGGGCAUCGUUUUAAUUUUUUUUUUUCAAAUUUAGUAAAACAUCAUAAUACCCCCUAAAUUAGUGGACUAACAACUAUAAAGAGAAUUUACCGAAAAAAUCAAUAUUUUCGUAGGGGUUAACACAAAGAUUUUGAGAAAAAUUCAAAAAUAUGAAAAUAUUGUUUUAAUGCAUAGUUGCAUCCUUCACUAACAUAUGAUGAAGGUCAAAGAGGUAUGAAACUUUUGUUGUCUCCGUUUCUCUAGAAAAUAGCGAUUUUAUAGUGGUUAGUCCACCAAUUUAGGGAAUAUUAUGAAAUUUUACUAAAUUAAUUGAAACAAAUUAAAACAAUGUCCAUAAUCUAUGAAAGAGAGUUUUAGUUUUAUAUACAUUAAUACAAAUGUAGAAUGUAUUAAGAAAUUUUAAAACAACACUAAAGAUCAUAGGAUUCAGUAUAUAUAACUCAAUAUUUUUCGCAGGGGUUAACACAUAGAUUUUGAGAAAAAUUAAAAAAUAUGAAUAUUCUAUUUUAAUGCAUAGAUGCAUCAUUCACCAACAUAUGAUGAAUGUCAAAAAGGUUUGAAACCUUUGUUGUUUCCGUUUUUUUAGAAAAUAUCGAUUUUAUAGUUGUUACUCCACUAAUUUAAGGAGUAUUAUAAUGUUUUACUAAAUUUGACAAAAAAAAUAAAAUGAUGCACAUGUACCAUGAAAAAGAGUUUAUUAUACAUAAAUACAAAUGUCGAAUGUUUCUAUAUAUUUUAAAACGACACUAAAGAUCAUAAGCUUCAGUAUAUAGAAAAUUUAUCGAAAAAUCAAUAAUUUCGUAGGGGUUAACACAUAGAUUUUGAGAAAAAUUUAAAAAUAUAAAAAUACUGUUUUAAAGCAUAGUUUCAUCAUUCACUAACAUAUGAUGAAUGUCAAAUAGGUUUGGAACUUUUGUUGUCUCCGUUUCUCUAGAAAAUAACGAUUUUAUAGUGGUUAGUCCACCAAUUUAUGGAGUAUGAAGUUUUGCUUAAUUAAUUGACAAAAGAAUUAAAACGAUGACCAUGUACCAUGAAAUGGAGUUUAAUAUAUAUUAAUAUAAAUGUAGAAUGUCUUUAGAAAUUUUAAAACAACACUAAAAAUCAUGCGCAUCAGUAUAUAGAAAAUUACCAAAAAUUUAAUAUUUUGAAGAGGUUAACACAUAGAUUUUAAGAAAAUUUCAAAAAUAUAAAAAUACUGUUUUAAUACAUUGUUGCAUCCUUCACUAACAUAUGAUGAAAGUCAAAUAGGUUUGGAACCUUUAUUGUCUCUAUUUUUCUAGAGAAUAACGAUUUUAUAGUGGUUAGUCCACCAAUUUAUGGAGUAUUAUGAAGUAUUGCUAAAUUAAUUGACAAAAAAAUUAAAACGACGCUCAUGUACCAUGAAAGAGAGUUUAAUAUACAUUAAUACAAAUGUAGAAUAUGUUUAGAAAUUUUAAAACAACACUAAUGAUCAUAGGAUUCAGUAUAUAGAACAUUUAUCGAAAACUCAAUAUUGUCGUAGGGGUUAACACAUAGAUUUUGAGAAAAAUUAAAAAAAUAUGAAUAUUCUAUUUUAAUGCAUAGAUGCAUCAUUCACCAACAUAUGAUGAAUGUCAAAGAAGUUUGGAACCUUUGUUGUUUCCGUUUUUCUAGAAAAUAGCAAUUUUAUAGUUGUUACUCCACUAAUUUAAGGAGUAUUAUGAUGUUUUACUAAAUUUGACAAAAAAAAUAAAAUGAUGCACAUGUACCAUGAAAAAGAGUUUAAUAUACAUAAAUACAAAUGUUGAAUGUUUCUAUAUAUUUUAAAACGACACUAGAGAUCAUAAGCUUCAGUAUAUAGAAAAUUUAUCGAAAAAUCAAUAAUUUCGUAGGGGUUAACACAUAGAUUUUGAGAAAAAAUUAAAAUUACGAAUAAUCUGUUUUAAUGCAUAGAUACAUCAUUCACUAACAUAUGAUGAAUGUCAAAGAGGUUUGGAACCUUUAUUGUCUCCGUUUUCUAGAAAAUAGCGAUUUUAUAGUUAUUAGUCCACUAAUUUAAUGAGUAUUAUGAUGUUUUAUUAAAUUUGACAAAAAAUAAAAUGAUGCACAUGUACCAUGAAAAAGAGUUUAAUAUACAUAAAUAUAAAUAUAUAAUGUUUUUAGAAAUUUUAAAACUAAACUAAAGAUCAUAAGCUUUAGUAUAUAGAAAAUUUACCGAAAAAAAUCAAUAUUUUCGUAGGGGUUAACACAUAGAUUUUGAGAAAAAAUCAAAAAUAUGAAAAUAUUGUUUUAAUGCAUAGUUGCAUCUUUCACUAACAUAUGAUGAAGGUCAAAGAGGUAUGGAACUUUUGUUGUCUCCGUUUCUCUAGAAAAUAGCGAUUUUAUAGUGGUUAGUCCACCAAUUUAUGGAGUAUUAUGAAAUUUUACUAAAUUAAUUGAAAAAAAUUAAAACAAUGUCCAUAAUCCAUGAAAGAGAGUUUUAUAUACAUUAAUACAAAUGUAUAAUGUGUUUAGAAAUUUUAAAACAACACUAAAGAUCAUAGGAUUCAGUAUAUAAAACAUUUACCGAUAAACUCAAUAUUUUAGUAGGGGUUAACACAUAGAUUUUGAGAAAAAUUCAAAAUAUGAAUAUUCUGUUUUAAUGCAUAGAUGCAUCAUUCACUAACAUAUGAUGAAUGUCAAAGAGGUUUGGAACCUUUGUUGUCUCCGUUUUUCUAGAAAAUAGCGAUUUUAUAGUUGUUAGUCCACUAAUUUAAGGAGUAUUAUGAUGUUUUACUAAAUUUGACAAAAAAUUUAAACGAUGCCCAUGUACCAUUAAAAAGAGUUUAAUUUACAUAAAUACAAAUGUAGAAUGUUUCUAGUAAUUUUAAAACAACACUAAAGAUCGUAAGCUUUAGUAUAUAAAUCAUUUACCGAAAAAUUCAAUAAUUUCGUAGGGGUUUACACAUAGAUUUUGAAAAAAAAUCAAAAAUAUGAAAAUACUGUUUUAAUGCAUAUUUGCAUAUUUCACUAACAUAUGAUAAAGGUUAAAGAAGUUUGAAACCUUUGUUGUCCUUGUUUUUCUAGAGAAUAGCGAUUAUAUAAUGGUUAGUCCACCAAUUUAGUAAGUAUUAUGAAUUUUUACUAAAUUAAUUGACAAAAAAUUAAAACGACGUCCAUAUACAAUGAAUGAGAGUGUAAUAUGCAUUAAUACUAAUUUAUAAUGUGUUUAAAAUUUUUAAAACAACACUAAAGAUCAUAGGCUUCAGUAUAUCGAACAUUUACCGAAAAAUUCAAUAUUUUCGUAGGGGUUAACACAUAGAUUUUGAGGAAAAAAAUCAAAAAUAUGAAAUUAUUAUUUUAAUGCAUAGUUUCAUCCUUCACUAACAUAUGAUGAAGGUAAAGAGAUUUAGAACAUUUGUUGUCUCCGUUUUUCUAGAGAAUAGUGAUUUUAUAGUGGUUAGUCCACUAAUUUAGGAGUAUUAUGAAGUUUUACUAAAUUAAUUGACAAAAAAUUAAAACGAUGCACAUGUAACAUGUAAUAGAGUUUAAUAUACAUUAUUAAAAAUGUAUAAUGUAUUUAGAAAUUUUAAAACAACACUAAAGAUCAUAGGAUUCAGUAUAAAGAACAUUUACCGAAAAAUCAAUAUUUUCGUAGGGGUUAACACAUAGAUUUUGAGAAAAAUUCAAAAAUAUGAAUAUUAUGUUUUAAUGCAUAGCUGCAUCAUUCACUAACAUAUGAUGAAUGUCAAAGAAGUUUGGAACCUUUGUUGUCUCUGUUUUUCUAGAAAAUAGCGAUUUUAUAGUUGUUAGUCCACUAAUUUAAGGGGUACUAAAUUUGACAAAAAAAUAAAACGAUGCCCAUGUACCUUGAAAAAGAGUUUAGUAUACAUAAAUAAAAAUGUAGAAUGUUAGAAAUUUUAAAAUAACAUUAAAGGUCAUAAGCUUCAGUAUAUAGAGAAUUACCGAAAAAACAAUAUUUUCGUAGGAACACAUAGAUUUUGAGAAAAAUUCAAAAAUAUGAAAAUAUUGUUUUAAUGCAAAGUUACAUCCUUCACUAAUAUAUAAUGAAGGUCAAAGAGGUUUGGAACUUUUGUUGUCUUUGUUUCUCUAGAAAAUAGCGAUUUUAUAGUGGUUAAGUCUACCAAUUUAGAGAAUAUUAUGAUGUUUUACAAAACUAAUUGAAAAAGAAUUAAAACGAUGCCCAUAAACCAUGAAAGAGAGUUUAAUAUACAUUAAUACAAAUGUAGAAUGUGUGUAGAAAUUUUAAAACAACACUAAAGAUCAUAGGCUUCAGUAUAUAAAAUAUUUACCGAAAAACUCAAUAUUUUUGUAGCACACAUAGAUUUUGAGAAAAAUUCAAAAAUAUAAAAAUACUCUUUUAAUGCAUAGUUGCGUUUUUAACUAACAUAUGAUGAAGGUUAAAGAUGUUUGGAACUUUUGUUGUCUCUGUUUCUCUAGAAAAUAACGAUUUUUUAGUGGUUAGUCCACCAAUUUAUAGAGUAUUUUGAAGUUUUAUUUAUUUAAUUGACAAAAAAUUAAAACGAUGCCCAUAUACCAUGAAAAAGAGUUUAAUAUACAUUAAUAUAAAUAUAGAAUGUGUUUAGAAAUUUUAAAACAACACUAAAAAUCAUAGGCUAUUUUAGUGACUAAAACAACACUAUAUUAUACGAAUCAUUUAAAACUUAAAAAUGACUAUACUCUGCUAUUUUCUCUUAGAUUUUUUUAAAAACAUCUAUAUUUUAAUAAUAGAGAAAUUCCAUAGUAUAGUCAUUUUUAAGUUUUUGUUACUAAAAUAGCAUUCAAUGAAGAAAAUGAUCAAAAUAAGUUUUAUUUUAUCCUAGUGUUAACUAAUGUAGACUUAAAGUUUAAGGGGUGGGAUUUUGAGAAUAAGGUUUCAAAUUUUAAAAACUAAAAAAUUAAAAUUUUCAAAAUAAAUAGAGGCUAUUUUAGUCAUUUUUUUCUUGUAAACUAUUUUGAGACAAAAAAAUUUAAAAAGACUAUUCGAGAGAAUUUCUCUAAAAAAAUAUUUUUGUGUUCUCCAAAUUUUAUAACAAUUACACGAUUGAUAACCAACAAUUAUUUGUUACCAUCAAUUAUUUUAACAAAUAAUUUGCAUAACACAAGGUUCUAGACAUUCCAAGUUGUCCUCAAUUGCAUAAUCUUCACCGUUGUUAGUUGACUAAGCUAAGUUCUUAUAUUUGAUAAGCAUUUCAAUGUGUUUAAUUCAUCUUCUUCUAGAAAAAAAAACAAAGAAAACACUAGAGAAAUAUAGUUGCAACUAUAAAACGUGCUAAAACGUCCAAUCCACUAGCAAACGGCUUAAAUCUUCCAUUUCUGGAUCAGGAUAGGGUCGAGCAUGCAUUAUGCCUACUAUCUAUCAUCAUGUAGUUUUAAAUGAUUCGUAUAAUAUAACAGAAGCCAAAAAAGGCAUCAAUCAAAUCUUAGAUAAGAUUGCAUUCAACUCAUAUGUACUUACAAUGGCAAACAAUUGACUUUUGACGCAUUGAUGUUGGCUGGAAACAGGGGUAGCCAUUAAAUUUUGAGUUUUAAGUAAAUUGCCAUAGCCUCUUAAGAAAAAUUAGUAGGCAAUUAAAACUACAAAUGGCUUUUCUGUGUAAAAACAAAUAAAAAUGUUUGCUUGUGUAAAAGAAUAGAGAAAAAACUUACUUGAGAGCUAAUAAUAUCAGUGUGUCAACUAAUAGGAACUUAAGAAAAUUUUCAUAUCAAACUCUGAAAAAACCUUGCUGCAUCUAAAAGCAUAUUUCGGUUUGCUACAUCUACAUAUAAAUCGAAUCGAGUAUUAAUGUUUUUUUAUAUAUAUUUAUAUCCAUGGCUGGUAAACACUUGUUUUCGCUUUCAAAUUUUAAAUAACUAAUGUACAGAUUUUAUACUUAUUAAUUUAAGAGCGGGUAUGUUUGGUUUGAAUAUAAACAAUGGGUGGUUGGCUCUGCCAAUACAAUUAUAUACUUAUAGUUUCAUGGUGUUUGAUGUUCUGUUCUUAGAUUUAGUCUCCUCUUUUGCUUAUAUCGUUUGUCUAUUUUUAUGCUUGUUGUGUGCUCCUUUUACUCUUAUUGCUGUUUUAUGUUUAUAGUUUUACCAUCUUACAACUCUUCCAUUUGCCAAUUUAAUAGCAAACUUUUAUCAAAAACAAAAAAAAAAACACUAGUGUAGAUAAGAACUAUACACUAAUAUAUUUGGGUCUCAAUAAUGAUAAUUCAAAGAAGGCAUGAUAUUUGCUAAAUUUUUCUCAAUGAAUUACCGCUAUGGUAACAACAUCUCUUUGAGAUGGACUAUUUUUGACAUAGAAUAUAUGAUGCAUAAAUGAUACUCCCUCUGUUUUAAAAAAAAUGCAUAUUCUAGACUUUUCACAUAUAUUAAGAAAACUCAUUAAAUAUGUAUUUUUUUGUGAAUAACAAUUUUUCAUAAUUUUUAGCUAAUAGAAAUUCAAUAAACACCAUUUAAUUUUUUUGAAACUUACAAUUUUUCAUAAAAUCAUACCUUGAAAAAGUAAAAAAUAUUUCUUUUUGAAACAAUUUUUUUCCAGAACAUACAUUUUUUAGAAACGGAGUGAUUAGUUAACAGCAAAAAAAGUGAACUAACCUUUGUAAAAAACACACCAUAUUUACGUAGGGGUGUCAAUAUGGGUAAACCAACCCAAUCCAAUCCAAACCCAAAUGGAUUGAGCAGUUUAUGGAUCAUGAGUUAAUCCAACCCAUUAACUAAAUGGAUUGGGUUAAACCAUAACCUAUUUAAAUUAAUGAGUUAGUGGUUUUAUUGGGUUGACUCAUUAACAAUAGUAUUAAUAAACAUAAUUUACAAAUAUUUACUAUAUCAUAAUAAUAUUACCAUCAACUUACUAACAUUUAAUAAUUAAAAAUGCUAAUAAAAAAUUAGCAAAUUAUAUAAUUUUCUUUUCUCAAGUUAUAUAAUAUAACUCAUCAAAAUAUUUGAAUUAAUAGAAAAUCAAAUGUCUAGCAAGAAAAACAAGAUUGCCUCUCUAGUCUCCACCAUUACACAUUAACAAGAACUAUGGUCGUUUGGUAAUAGAACACAAACAAAAGUCUCUAAUUCCAAUCGAGCCACUUCAUCAUUUCGUUCACUUCUCUUGUUAUGUUUGCCCAUUGUUUCACCUAAAACACAAAAUCAACCAUUUGAGUGCAAACUCAUAUCUUAAAAUCUCUUAGAAGAAAUACAACAUUCAAAGAACCAAUUUAGAGAUAGAGAAUAUUCUGCUUGAUGAAACACUCACUGUAACAAUCAUUAGCUACACUAUUCAUCUACCAUCCAAGGUGUAAAACACUUUACAUAACAAGAAUCCAAAAAGAAACUCGUUUCAAAAAGGGAUUUUCACAAGUGCUUUUCUUGUUGAAUUAUAUUGAGGACACAACAGCCACUACCAAAGAAAGAAUCAUAGUAUCGCAAUAAAACCAACGAGAAUGACACACAUAGUUGGCAACCACACAUAGUUCUUUGGACACUUUUUACAAUAUGCUCUCUCUUGGCCAUUCUCAUCUUUUUCUAUUGUAAAAUAAUCCCAAGCAGUUGAUCUCUUAGUUCUUUUUGAAUGAUUAGAACUUACUAGAGCCGUUUGUGAUGCACUUGUGGAUGAUUGGCCACCACUGUUUAGAAGAUCUUCAUUAUUCAUCAUCUUUGUCAACUUGAAAACAUUGAAAACGCAAAAAUCAUUUUCCAAUAAAAAAAUAUCAAACCAGAAACUAUAUUUUGAAGUAUAGUCAUUUUCCAAUAAAAAGUGACUAGUAUAACCCAAAAUAUCAUACGCAUGAUCAAAUCGAGUAUACAAAGACAUCACAACUCAAAACUCAAAUACAAUCCAACUUACAACGCUGGUGGAAGAGUAGUGGUGAUACUCAGUGUUUGGUCUCCUUGGUAGUGAAGAUCUGAAAAAGAGCAACAUUCAAAACUCAUUCUACAAUCAAAACAUCACAAAGAGACUCGGAUACUAAACAUGAAUAGCUUCAAUCAUCACUCAAGAAGAACAAAGGUACAUCAAUACAAAUAAAUAAACCAAACAAUGAGACAAUCCUUCCAUGAAAGUCACUUUCAAACCCAGAAAAAUUUACUUCAAAAUUGAUCUCAAAUCAGCAAAAUCAGUGACCCAUAAAGCCAAAUUGAAAAAAAAAUAGAGUUUGACUCACAAGGAAGAUGAGUUGAUGUGUUGCGAUCGAUAACCCAAAAGCAAUGACCCAAAAGGGUUGAUCGAUGUCGUGAUCGAUGAUGAAGGUCUCGUGAGAUCGAGAAAGAGAGAGCGUCUCGUGAGAGAAGAAAGAGAGAGAGAGACUAAAAAAUUAUGUGAGAAAAAGUGGGUUGGAUUGGAUAAUCCAUAAACCAUUUUGAUCCAAACCAAUAUUAAUCCAGCUCACUAAACUCAUUAACCCAUAAAAACCAUUUAUCCAUUAACAUCCAAAUUGUUAACCCAUUAGAACCAUGGAUUGGUUUGGUUUGGGUCAACCCAUUAAUUUCAACCCAUUUUGACACCCCUAUAUUUACGUAUGCUAUUAAUUAUUUUUUGCUUAUCUAACCAAAUUAAAAUUUUCUUUUAAAAUUACAGCAGAGGUGACUCUUUUGGUUUGUCAAAUCAUUCAUGACCCAUGCCAUAAAAUUAAACUAUACUUUAUUACAUGCUGAUUCAAAACAAAUUCACUAUUUUCCUAUUUGUUUGUUUAUAUGCAAGCAUGCAGCAUGACUUUAUUUUAUUUUGACUAACCCUUUUAUAUUAAUCUAUUUGUUUCAUAAUAAGUGUCAUUUUAACAUUUUUUUUUCCUUGUUUCAUAACGAGUACUCAAUAAGCUCAUUAGAUCUCAUACUACGUGAUUCAUGAAUUUGUCAGUCUAGGCUUCCUGAAAUUAAGCUUAUACUUUAUAAUAUAUACAAUUAAAUUUUCUAAAUAACUUGAAAGUUUCACAAAAGCAUCCAUAUGAAUCAACGCCAGAACAGAACCUAGUACAUUUAUUAAAACUUAGGAAACGUUAACAACAAAAAGUGAAUAUCCAUUUUUUUAAUGUGUUCCCAAGAAUAUUAAAUUAUACUCCAUGAUGAGAAUUGCGUGAAUUUUAAUUAAUUCAAGAAAGGGGGGCUGCCUGGAAUAAUUGAAUUUAAUGGUUUUGGAAUUCAAUAAAAACUGGUGUUUGUUGGUGGCCGGUGGCCUUCGCCGCCGGUUACCAUCUUUUUUUGUUUUAUAUGUAUAUAUUCGAUCUGUUUGAUCGAUCUUUUAUUCCGGUUGCGGAUGUUCUUUUCGCUAGGCGAUUUUGAAGUGCUUAUGAUCAUCAACAGCCAGAGCCAAUUUUCAUUCAAUUCCUUUCUCUGGUCUUACUUAGUUGAUCCUUAAUAAAGUUCCGAUCUUUUGAUCGGUAGUCGUUUAGGGGUCUUCUCUCAAUGGAAACCUAACAUCCCGACUGUUUUUCAUUUGGUUCUCCUCUUCCCGUCGGUUAUCCUCUAUCUUCAUCUAUAAGGAAAUCAAUCUUUGCUUUAUAUCAUCAAGCAAAGUUUUCCAGAGGAGAUAAAGAUUGAGUUUUGCAAGUUGUCUCGUGAUUUGCUUCAGUUUUAGAUGAGUUGAAACUUGUUAUUAGCAAGUGUUUCAACAAGAACUGUGGGUAAAUCAGUUCAAGCUGCUUGGUAAGUAUCACAUCCGGCGAUAAGAAUGAAGAUCCGGUGAAGACAGAGGCGUCACAGAGAGAAGUAUCCAACAAGUGAAGAUCUUUCAAUCCAGCCACGAAGCUUGAGCAAGCUGUGUGAAUUUUGCUGGAGGAGUGGCGUGCCAAUUACCCGACUGUAGCAGCGGCGCGUGCGAUGGCGCGUAUCCAAACUUGAUAUGAAAGCGUGUGAUGACGCGUGAGUUGAAGAAUUUCUGCAUGAUGGACGCGCGUCCUGCGGACGUGUCUUUCUCGAAGAUGCUGGCAAAGUCAAUAAAUUAGACUUUACCAUGUAGGUUUAUUUAAAUUUCGAGAUUGUAACUUAUGGGUAAUGAACCUUAUUGUAUCUUCACUUGUACAAAAGCCCAUUAGGGCAUUAUCAAUAUAAGUUUGUUGAAAAAAAAAAAAAAAAAAAAGGAAUUCAAUAAAAUGAGUGGGUGCAACGUGGAAUUCUUAGCCUGUUUAAAGAAAAGCUACAUAUUCGCGCCGGUUAUAAUUGGGAAACUUUAAACAAUGCAGCCAGCCAUGUGUGAUUGGACCCAUAAGAAUUUUUCAACAUUUAAGAAGCCUUACACUAAACAGAUUUAAAGAUAACAAUUGCAUCUGCAUGCUAAUCCUUUUCUUAAAUGCUACUCCCUCCAUUUUAUAAUGUAAGUAGUUUUGGCUAAAAGCACAAAGAUUAAGAAAAUUAUUAUGUUUUAAAAAGUAUUGUAUAUUAAAUAGGUUAGAUAUAACUUAACCAAUCAAAAAUAAAUUUAUUUAAUUUGAUUGGUCACACUAUACUCAAUAAAUGUAAAAGUUACCUAGAAAUAUGAAAACUACUUACAUUUUGAAACAAAAAAAUUUCCCUAAAACUAGUUACAAUAUGAAACGGAGGGAGUACUUAACUACUAAAUUGAUCUUCUUGGGAUUUUAUAAAGAGCCGAAAAUGUUACUAACAAUGAACAGAAAACCAUGACUCAUCAUCACUUAUGACAGUAUCGGAAGAAUGAAUAGACAUUUAAUUGACAAAAACAAAAUGAAUAGAGGAUUGAUUAUCAAGUUGGUUAGUAUUUAUUUUAUUAGGCAGACCUCUUUGGAAAAUGUUAUUACGGUCUCACAAAUAACAAAAUAGUACAAUAAAAUAAAUAAAAAGGAUAUUAAAGAAUGAAGAGAAAAAAUUAAAUAUGAUUUGAUAACACCGCGGCCGUUCAUCUGAAUGAUCCAACGGCUACAAGUUCUCAUGACUAAAGAACUUUAAAAUGCCAGAAACUCAUAUAAAUAUUGAGUGGGCAUUUAGCGCGUUUUCUCACUUUCUAUUUAUUUUUCUGAGUUCUUCAGAAUCAUAAGGCUAACCACUUUCUUUUCAUUCGAAUCAUUCUCGAUUCCUUUUGUUCUUUCUAAAAAUUUAAUAUUUUAAAGAAUGCGAGUAAAACCCAUUUGAAUUAUGCUUAAUUCCAAUUAAAAUUCUCAACCUUUCAUCCCCAAAUUCUGAAAAAAAGUUUUGUCUAUUUUUUGGUAAAAACAGUUUCGUCUUCAAGUUGCAGAGAUAUAUUAAGUAAAAGGUGAGAGCUUUUGAUCUUACUUCUUCUUCUCCAUACAUCUUCUCUCAGAUCUAUAAUUUAUUGUUUUCUCUUCUUUUUUUUUUUGUAACACAUCUAUUGUUUUCUCUUCAAAAAUAGUUAUUUGUUGUUCUCUGUGUUUGGCUAAUUCAUCAUCGUGAUAAUGACUUUUAGUACUGUUUCUAAUUUAAAGUAAAUAGUUUAGGGAAAAACCAAAGUUGAUUAGAGUCACAUUCCCUCUUUGUUGAAAAGUCUCUCUCUGUUUAAUUUUCCGUCAAAACUACUCAAAUGAUUUUUGGAGUGUUAAUUAAGUAAUAUUUGAUUUGUUUUAUGGUUAUAAUAUUUCUGAUUCCUUAUGAAAAGUUUAUACUUUUUUUACUAAGUUUUGUUUUUAUAUUUUUAAUCCAGAGAUGGUGUCACAUGAAGAGAACGUAAGUAUUGUGGAAUGGUUUCUUGGUCCGCCUUCAUACACGUAUCCUCCUUAUGGCGUUGAGUUGAUUCACGAGGAAGACCAAUCUCUUCAUCAUCAUCAUCAGAGCGGUGAGUAUUACAGAGAGUAUGAAGAUCAUCAUAGUAGCAGUGAUGUAGAUAACGAUGAGAUCAUUGCAAGAACACUCCAAGACGAUUUUUUGCAGCUUCAAAUUGCAGAAAAUAAUGGCAAUUAUUCAAAUCAUCAUCAGCACCAACAAGAAGAAGAUUAUACUCACAAUUAUAGCAGUAAUAAUAACGAGUAUGGUUGGAACGAUCAACCUACUACUAGGGAUUACUCUUCAGGUUAUUUUUGAACAUCUUUUUUUUUCAUGUGUGUGUUUACGUUAUGUUUUGGUGAUUGGAUUACAAAAGAAAAUGAGUUUUUGGUGUUGUAGAGUGGUUAGGGAAUGAUAAUGAUCAAGAUGGUUCGCCUAAUAUAUAUUCAUGUUCAAGUCCGAGUGACACGGAGGAGUAUGUGUACUCGUGGGAAUCAGAUCAGUGUGAUACUGAUGGUGAAUUUGGGAGGAGAUUGAAUCAGAUGGUCCCUAUUCCUGUAAGUAUUCAUGAGACUAUUGUUUAAACUCUUGUCAAUAUGUUCUAUUAAUUUGACACAAGUCGAUCAUAUGCAGUAUGUACCGAAAACAAAUGGAGAGAUACCACCUGAAGAAGAAGCGGUUUCAGAUCAUGAUAGACUUCGGAAUAGGUAUGUGCUAUUACAUGUUACAUCCAUGUAUGUGUUCUGUUAUGUAUAUACAAACCAUUAUUGUUUGUUUCAGGUUAGAGAUGUUCGACUUCGCAGAGGUCAGAGUUCCAGGAGAUGGUAACUGCCAGGUAAACUUCUACUUCAUCUCCAUAAGCAGAAUCAUUUUGGGAGAACUAGACUAACUGAUCAUUUAUUUUUUUGCCUUUUUGAUUAUAGUUCCGUGCUUUAGCUGAUCAACUUUACAAAACAGCAGAUCGUCAUAAACACGUUAGAAAACAAAUUGUAAAGCAGGUUUGAUGAACUUUCUGCUACUCAUGAGUCUUUAGUAGCUUUCACUAAUUCAUACGAGCUCAUGUUUUUUGGAACUUUUCAAACUCUUUUGUUUAGCUUAAAGCUAGUCCAGAUUCUUAUGAAGGAUACGUGCCUAUGGAGUUCUCUGACUAUCUCAAGAAAAUGUCUCGGUAAAUAUCUUCUCUCAUUUGAAACUACUUAACCGCAUUUCUUGAACCAUUGUCUUUUGUUAGAAGCCUUAAGAGUAUUCAACUAUGAACACAGGAGCGGCGAGUGGGGUGAUCAUGUUACAUUACAAGCAGCUGCAGAUGCAGUAUAGAUUCUCAAACUUAUGAAAACACAUGUAUUUUCAUUCGUAUACUUCUUCACCAUUCCAUAAUUAAAGAGUGUAUUAAUUGUGCAGUAUCGGGUGAAAAUAGUUGUGCUAACGUCAUUCAAGAAUACAUGUUAUAUUGAAAUUAUUCCCACCUCUCAAGAAUCCAAAGGGGGUAAUAGUCCACUAUACUUUCUGCUUGUCCUUUUUUUAAAUGUUGUUAUUACAGUGAUGAUAUGUUAUUUUGCUUGUUGUCUGCAGUAAUCUUCUUGAGCUUCUGGGCAGAGGUUCACUACAACUCCAUCUACUUAAACAAAGGUAAAUUGUAACUAACCUCAAACCCAUUUUACAGACUACUUUUUUUCAUCUUGGUUCAUUAAAAGAUAUAUUUUUCUUGAUUAUUUGUUUUUGUAUUCAGAUACAUAUGCAACCGAGUUACAGAGGAAGAGAAAAUGGUGGCGUUUUGGAAACUAAACAGAGCAUGGAUGAACCUAUAUUAUUAUUUAUUUAACUUGAGAAAGAGUUGUUCUUUGAAAUAGUUCCUUUGUAGAGAGGAUGAACAAAUCUCACAACUUCAUAAGUCUUGCAAUAAUAGAAGGACACGUGGUCAUAACGUACACAAUAGAUCAUGUAUAAAACUCAAUUUGUUGCAAAAAUCUAAGCAAAACCAUUUUUAAAACUAUCUCAAAAAGCUUAAGAGUCCAACAAUAAGUGAAAGCCAGCAAAUUCUAAAAUAAAAACAGUAGACUUAAACUGAGAGAGACCAUUAAACAUGCAAUCUCUAAGACUGUUCUCAACAACUAAAACAACUUUAUUUCCUAAAAAGGAACUUUGGCUUCCUAAGAGUUUCAAAAAAACAUUCCCAAGAAAAAAAAACAACAACCAAAACAAAAGAAAAAUAAACUUGUAAUUCUGCUUAAUUAUUCAUCUUCUCUUCGACAUUCCGGAACCAUGACCAAACUGGGAAUACAUGUACAAUGCAAAUGCCAAGGAUCCACCACAUAAUCGCGUUUUACUGAUUAACUUGCUUUCCCCAACAACAUAGAUCCAAGCCCGGCCAUCUACAUCGCAACAACACAAAACGAGCCUUUUAACAUCCCUUUUCUCGUCAAUGAAGUACCUUGGCUGACGGUAGGAAGCGUGAUUCCAAAAUGGAAUCAUAAGCUUCCAACAUGUUUUUAAACAGAAUUUUUUGGAAGCGUUUUGAAAGCGAGAUUCCGUAAGCUUCCACAAGAUUCUGAUUUCAAUUCCAGUUCCGAAGCGGGAAGCGGACGUCCGACGAAGCUUCCGUGCAACGUAGGGCGAAGCACUUUUUUUUAGUAUUUUCAAGAAUCACCACUAAACAGAUUUUUGAUACUAAUCUCACAUUCAAAUUGAAGUAUCAAAAAACGAAAUACUUAACAUAAUGUAAUACUUGAGAAGGGCUUGUAUUGAACUAAUUUAUAUACCCAGCGUGAAAAUUGGAGUAAACCCAAAGUAUUAAUGUGUACAUACAUGAGUGGACAAUCUCACUUUUGAAACCCAUUCCGUCCCCUUUUUCACAGAUAACUGCCAAAUGUCGCAGGUUCGAUUGUUUGUCGGCGCAGUGGUACUAUGACUCUCUAAUCCUAAAAGUUUUUCUUGGGUUUGGGACACUGCUUACGGUGGAAUCUAGUCACUAUCUCGAGUAACUUGAACCAGAGGAUGUAUGUUUUAAAUAUCUUUCCUAAACAAGAACUACGUGCCGUCUUAUUCUCCUCUGUAUUAGACGUUCCGUCGUUUGCUACUAUGAGCUUUUCCAUGUUAUAACUACCUGCCGGUUCCAAACUCGAGUGGGAUCGUCUUCUAUUUCAUCGGCGAGACAAAACCAGAUCGGGAUUCUCUCUCUUAUACCCAACGCAAGACAUGAAUCUAGGCUUCGUAAUUGGAGUAAUCGGCGUCCUGAUUCUCUCCCACGCCGCUUAUUCAACAAUCCAAUGUAAGCCUCCGGAUCCAAAUUACAAAUAGAUUCAGAUCUGAUUUUGUUUUCUGUGGGUUUGGAGAUAGUUUCUUGAUGUGGGUUUUGACUUAUUUGAUUUUAGAUAGAGGAUUGUUGAAGAUCACGGAGGAAGAGUUCACCGGACCUCCCUUGAAUGUAAGUAUAUACCAUAAAGGCUUCACCUUUAUUCAAUUUUUGUUGGAAAGGAUUAUACUUUGAUACUUGUUUGGAUUCGUUAAGGUUGUUCUGGAGUUGAUCGUGGGACUAGCUCUUUGUAUGUGGGCUGCUUUGACUUUCCCUGGGAAGUUCCUCUCCAUUCACCCUGACUCUGAUGAAAACAGGUUUGUUGUGCAUCACUCUGUUUGACUGAGAAUGCUCUUAGAUUCAUGUUGAUGGAUCGAUUCGUUUUCUAGUUAGUAUUGUGGCUAUUGACUGAGAAUGUUCAUGCUUGUCCCACUCUCUAUCUUGAGUCUUGACCCUGAGCAUACAUUCUUCAUUUACUCUAUAGGUGUUUUAGACUCCCUUUGGUGAAUAAAAUGAAUUGUUCCUUUUUAUGUCACGACCUCUCUCACCUAUCUUCUUAUAUACAUCAUGGUUCUUUGAUUGGUUUUGAGUUUGUCUUAUGUUAAGAUGAAGUGAAUAUGCACUUCUGCUAAGUAACUUGUUCUUUCAAAACUUUUUGCAGGGCGGUUUCUUUACCAGAUAACUCUGAUUUCAUGAUAUUCAAUCACCGUGGCCGCCUCUUCCCACCAGAGAUCACCAUGAAGUUUUGAUUUUUCCUCCUUUUUUUUUUUUAUAUCGGACUUCUUAGUCAAACACUCAUCUGUCCACUGUAAUGAGAUGUUGUUUCCAUUGAUAUUCUAAGUGAUUUCCAUCGAUUUGUGAUUUUUAGUGAAAUAUUGUUUAGAAAUAGAAAGUCAACAUAACGACAAAGUGCCUGCAGAGUAGAUUUGGCCACUAGUAUGUAAAUUCAAUGCAUCAAGCGACAAUUUUUUUUUUUAAUUAUUAACUCACGUUAUGAGUAAAAGAAGUACAAACAAACUCAAAAGCGAACAGAACACUAGUUUAAGUGUUCUAGGCGCUGUUCUGGAAGUUCCAGCUCCAAAUAUCGUGACGCUCAGCCUCACGGCCCAUGGCACCGGCAAAACCAGCGUACAUGUUUUCGAGAAAAACCUCAGAGAGAUCUAACUGCGCAACGAUCAAAGGCUUCUUGGGUUUCGUGACAGCUUCUGGCGCGAGAGUAACUGAAACAUUAGAGUCUCUAUACUCAAUCCAAGCCUUGUACCUCUCUCCAUUGCUCAGCUCCACCUCCUUGAACCUCCACAUUUUCGUUCGCCCUAUCACUAUCUGAACCCAAUAACCAGCUCUCUCGGCCACAACAGAAGUAAGUGAGUUCACAUCUACACCGACAUGGUUAUCAUUCAUGUCUCCAAGUUGCUUGUCCUUAUAAACAUCGAACUCGACGGCGAAAACGUGGUUUUCAGGGUCGCCGUUGUUUGUUUUGUUGAGGAUUCCGAGGUAGCCCGCGGGUCCUGCGCCGCUGUUGUCGAGAGCUGGGACCACGAUGAAGGCGAGGCCAUGGCCUGGAGCUGGUUCGGUGCGAGGAGUGAUGGAGAAAACGAAAGAAGUCUCGAAUGGGUAAGGAAGAGAAGAAGAUGUGUUUGAAGAAGGCUUGAAAGGGACUGGAGUGGCCCAAAGGCCUUGGCCGUGGGAGAGAGGGUUUUCGUCUCGGGUCAUGGAGAGAGCUCCCGAGCGACUCACGCCAUCUGAAGCAGGACCGAGCUCUGCGUCUCCAAGGAAGGCUAUGUUUGAGGUUUCGAGGCUGAGGUUGACUGCGAGAGUGGUGUGAGCCAAGAAGAGAGCAAGAAAAUAGAGUUUUUGAACCUGCAUUAUUGUCUUUGUUUUUGUUGAAAUGAGUGUAAGAAACUCUGAGGACGAUAACGUGGUGUGAUUUAUAAGACUAGUAAACUGUAAACACAAGCCAUGAUCGAGUUUGAUUUCAAAAAUGUGAAACGAAAAACUAAAAUUAAUCAUUGAAUCCGUUACAUCACAAUACAGCAAACGUCAAGUAGACCGACAAGAGGCCAAUGAAAACACGUCCCCUCAAAAUUUUCUACUUAUCGUAUCGAUAAGUAGAAUACAAGUACAGUUACAAAACAUACUGUAGUGUUUAUACGAUUUCAUCACGUGGAUGAAUGAAAUACACUCUUGUCUAUGUCUGUUAUUUAUUAUCCACCAUACAAACAAGACCGACAUCGUAUAGAAAGUUACGUCAUGUCAGUGAAUCACAGUUACGCCAUAUAAUUAAGUGAAACCGUUUUGGUGUUCUUGCCAGUAUUCUGGAACGUCCAGCUCCAAAUGUCGUGACGCUUAAUAAAACUGUAGACUUGUGCGUAGCCAACUAGCCAUGCAUGCACAAACCCAUAUGCCAAAAAAUCACCUAGAGAAGAAACGACCUCUGUAUUGGCACCCAUCUUUUAAUUGUUCUAGCUUAAGCACGAUUAACUAAAGAGUUUUCGGUAUCAGUUAGUUUGGUUUUUAAAAAUAGUAUUUGAUUUCGAUUAGAUUUUGGUUUAGUUUUAUUAAAAUUUCAGAUAUUUUUGGUUAAAUCGAUUAACUAAGUUAUUUUUUUAGUUAGUUUGAUUUGAAAUUUGGUUAUUUCCGCUCAGAUUUUUAGUAAGGUUUGAGUAAUUUUUUAUAAAGAAAACUGAAGUAACCGAUUGCCUGACCUACCGAAAAGAACCGAAUUAACCAAUAUUUUGGUUCAGUUCAAAAUCUCAAGGCCUAAUUACAGCACCAGACUGGUUUUGUCGGUUCGGUUAGGUACAGUACCGAAAAGUUCCCGAGUCAUGAGCGAUUUAUUAACGUUAUCCAAAAGAAACAAUGGAGAAGGAAGAAACUCAUGGCUAUUCUCUUUACACCUCCACAAUGCAGUAGAACCUUCUCUUCUCCUGUAUUCAACAACCACGUCGCCGGAGAAACCAUUCCCUCUCCUCACUCCUUAAAGCUGAAAACUUCCUCCGCCGAGAACUGGUGUUCCCGUUUCCGAUCAAAAUCUCUCAGCUUGGUCUUCUCCGGAGCUCUAGCUCUCGGUUUAUCUCUAUCCGGUUCGCUCCACACGAUCCCUUCCUUCUCAAAAAAAAAAAAACAAAGUUUGAAUCUUUCUUUUUGUUUGCAGGCGUUGGAAUUGCAGAAGCAGCCAAAGUGGGAGUAAACAAACCAGAACUGCUCCCAAAAGAGUUCACUUCGGUAAUAGACGUUGCUGGUUUCCUCUCUGAUGGCCAGGUUAAUCCUCUGUCUUGGUGCUCUGGCCUUUUGGUUUUGAUUAUAAUUGAUGUUUUGAGAAUUGUUUACAGGAGAAGAGGAUUGCUGAAGAAAUCUCUGAUCUUGAGAAAGACACAGGGUUUAAGCUAAGAGUCUUGGCUCAAAACUAUCCUGUUACACCUGGUAAAAUGAUAUAUUCUCUAUGCUUUUAAUUUCAAUAGGUUUGUACUUAUGAUGACGUGUUACUCUGUUACAGGACUAGCUAUGAAAGAUUACUGGCAAGUUGAUGAUAGCACUAUCGUGUUUGUCGCUGAUCCCACUUUUGGUAUAACACACAACACACACAUUCAUUGUUUAAUUCUUGUUUAUUAUCCGAUGAGUGAACCGCUUGUGAUGAAUGGAUAUUUUGAAAUAGGGAACAUAUUGAAUUUUAAUGUUGGGGCUACUGUUGAUUUGGACAUACCUCGUAGCUUCUGGAGUCGUUUAGCUGGGAAAUACGGCAACAUGUUUUACUGGAAAGAGAAGGUAAGAAAGAAGCUCAACACUCUUUUUUUUUCUUAUGUAUGUGUGAUCAUGUCUCUAAAACUGUUAGCAUGUGUUAUUGUUUUGAAAUUAGGGUGAAGAUGCAUCCAUUGAAGCUGCAGUGAUGGCUAUAUCAAGUUGCUUAAGGGAACCAGUUGGUGCAAAUAACUGUGCAGAGGUUUACUGAAUGUAUGUCCCAGAGAAAAUGUAUGUUGUAAUUUGUAACACUGUAUAAACAUUGAUACUAUAUGUGAUAAUAAGAGUAUACAUGAUGAAUCUGACAUCGACCUUAUGUUGCUUUUUUUACUGUGUGUUGGUCGAGAUUGUUCAAAGCAUCAACUUUAGGGAUCAUUUGUAGAAGAAUGUGGAGUGUUAAAGAAAUGUCCCAAAUCUUUUUCUCACUCUUGUUUUAUUCAUAGUGGCCCACAUGAAUGAAUCUCAUUUCAAACCCAUUAUGAAAUCCCGGCCCAUGUUCUCUAGUUUUAUUUAUAGCGGCCCACAUGUAACUCUUCGGGCUACACUAGAUGUGAUGCCAUGUUUUUAAUGCUUAGGAGGUGUUAGUGGGAUAUGAAUUUGUAGUGAUUGUUAAAAUUCUCAAAUUCUAUUGUUAUUGGUUGGUGGAUUCUAAGAUUCUUACUAAAAUCUAGUGUUAUUGGUUUGAUGAUUGUUUAAUGACUUACAAAAUCUCUUGUUAUUCAAAAAGUUUGGUUUUUAAUGAUUCUAAGUUUCCAUCAAAUCUAGAGUUAUUGGGAAUUGAAUUCUAGAUAAUUUUACUCAUAAGACAAAACUUCAAAAAUCUUGCAUAUUUCCUCUAGAUUCUUAAAAUCCUUGAAUUAGAACAUUUUCAUAAACUUUUAAAAUAUGAAAUACUCUUUAUAACUCUUUACAAAUUUAACAAAUCUCUUGACUUUUAGAAUCAACCAACUCUAUAAAAAUUCUACUCCCACUAACCCCUCCUUACUUCUUGUGAUUUGUAUUGCCAUUCUAUUUUAGGUUUUAUCUGUUUCAUAUUCCACUUGGUUCUUUGUAGCUUUGUUGUAUUCUUUUAUGAUGGAGCUUAAACUCUUACUAAGUUCUAAGUUUAAUACAAAUUUGGUUUGAUAAAAAAAAUAUGAAAAUAUAUUAUGUAAUUGCAGACACGGCUAUUCAACACGUAAAAGAAUGAACCAGUGUAAAUAAAAGUGGAAAGUCUUAAUGGGAUGAUCUUAUUUGAUCACAUAAAGAUCAAAGUCAGCCUAACAUUGAAUAAUAAUGUUAAGUUUCAAAGUGUUUGACAAGUCACAAAAACUAAUAGAAUGGUCAAAUUAGUUUUAAUUUUGCUUGAGAAAUAGUCAAAAUUCAAAUAAACGUUGCUUGGAUUAUAAUGGCUUCCCUCGUGUGACAGAGAGGACUCGACUAUCGAUCCCCUGCGAAGAUAGAACGACUCCAGUAACGUGUUGAUCCCAAGCGACUUUUAUCAGUGUGAUUUUCUUUUCUAUCGACAACUAGUAAGAGACAGUACUGGAUAAUAUAUAGGUUGAAAUUUAUAACCAAUUACUCCAUCAAAAACAAAAAUAAAUAAAUUGAUUAGUUAAUACGUACAUCUAAAACCAGACAAUGAAACAAGGUGGAAACAUGGUUGCACGUGUGGCUGCGCGACCAAGUAAUUAUUGAAAAAGUCAGAUUUUCCUUAUAAUCUUCAACUUGCCUUUUAUUAAAAUACAUACAAAUUGUUUAUAUUUUCCUGAAGUGGUCAUAUCAGAUUGGAUUUAUUUUUUUCUGCUAAGAAUAUCAGCUUGGAUUUGAGUUUCCCUUAUACAUUUUCGUCCUUCAACAUGAUCAAACUUGAAAGAUAUAUACAGUAUGUUGUUUACGUCGAUUAAAUACAUAGCUCUAGUUCUUUCAAUGUAUAUAGUUAUAGUCUUAUAGACUUGGGAGCUAGAUAAUACAUGUAUUGGUAUUAUUUCCAUUUAAUCAGUUAUAGCAUGUUAUCAUGUGGAGAUAGCACAUUAACACUAUAAAAUCAAUAUAUACAUAUUUGUAGAUAUGAGAUGCUAAGAUCGGACGAUUUUAAAUCUAAAAGAUUAUGUAUUCAUAUAAAAUUUGGGAUAUUCGUUAGGUGGUAUUUGACUGUUUGUACAUAAAACAAAUAGAUCCAUUUAAUAAAUAAUUGUUUGUAAAAAUUUAAUAAAAUAUAAAUAAUAAAUUAAGAAAACAAAUAAGUACAAAUGAUCUUUAAAUAUAUAAAUAUAUUAGGUAAGAUUAAAUCUUACCAAAAGUUAAAAAUAAGAAAAUAUUACAACCUACAUAUUAUAACCUUCAAUAAUGAGGGUGUAAACAAAAUCAGAGCAAAAAAUGUGAAAGUGAAUGUGUACAUGUGCGUCCAGUCUUAGACCUCACAUGUAGCAAGUUCUUAUUUGAGUUUCAUGGAACACAACUACUACACAUAAAUAAGAAAGACCUCACAUGUAGCAAGUUCUUAUUUGAGUUUCUCAAAAAAAAAGUUCUUAUUUGAGUUUCAUGGAACACAACUACUACACAUAAAUAAGAAGACCUUUCUAUUUUGGCAAUAAAAAUGGUCCAGCUAUACAAAUGGACCUUACCGGUGGGGAGGUUCGUGCCGUGUAAUUCAAACAGAGACAAAAGUUGCCAGGUGGGACUGACGUGGACGAUCCCACUAAACCCCACAUCAUUAAUCAUACAUAGUUUUAUCAUCAUGGCUCAUCAUCAUUCAUACAAUAUUAAUAUGAUCAUCAUAAUAAACAUUAGCUUCGAACGUCUAACUUUUUUAAUAUUAUAAAAUAUAUGUUAUCUAAAUUAUUAAUUUUUUUUCACUAGAUUGUCAAUGAUCUCCAAAAUUUCAGGUGGACCAUGACUACAUGUAUACAUAAUCAGUGUAGAAGUCCUCCAACGGCAUAUAUUUUAAUUGCCAUAAUGAUAUUAAGAUUUUCAUUUGCAAAUUAAAUUAUGUUUGUUAAGAAUUAAUAAGAAAUUAUUGGUAAAAAAACAGUAAGCACUGUGGUAAUUGUAUGUCGCAUUCAAAACUGAGUCAGAAACACGUGGCAUUUUUAGUUCAUGGUUUUACUUUCACCUUACUUCUUAUCGUCAUCAACUCAUCAUAAUGCCACUAUACAACAUUUUUAUAAUGUCGCUGACAGUUCCUCCUUUUGAAAUGGCAAUAAUAAUUUUAUAUGUCACUACUAUAUCUAUAAGUGUUGGGUUAGGUUUUCGCAUCAGCAAAUGAUUUGGAGGAAGAUUGAUAUACCCCGUUUAUAUUAUCUUUUGUGGAGCUCACAAAGGACCUUAUAGAUAAAAAUAUUGGAGUUUCAUUUUAUUAUUUUCUCAGAUUAAGAUUUCGAACAAUCAUGCAAACCUUGAUUUGUACAUUCAAUUUUUAGGUAUAUUAGAAAAUAAAGGAUUAUAUGGUGCUUCUCUGUAUUAUAUGAUAUUCUGAAAUUUUCUGUUUAUUAAUAGAACAAAUCAGAUUACGCAGCUAAUUGUACAUUUAUAAUUUACUAGGGAUUAACCCGGGCUACGCCCGGAAUUUUUACUUUUUUUCUAAUUUAAGUUGUUAAAUUAUUUAUAUUUAGGCUAUGAAAUAUAUUUAUAUAAAUGUUAAGAAUGCAUGCCAUACUUUAAAUUUAUUUUUAAAUUUUAACACGUUAAAUUAACAUAUUUUUUACUAUUUAAAUAUUUUUUUGUAAUUUUGUUGGCUAUCUAGUUAUCAUAUUUAGCAAAACUAUCUGUUGAGUGUUGGAAUAAAUGUUUUAGAUAUUUAAUUAAACUCCAGAGUAUUUUCGGAUCCACCACAUGCUCAACAAUCGAUCGAUCCGUAAAAAGAUGGUUGAUCUCCUUGGCCAGGUAAGUAUAAUUUUAGCAAAAAUAUCUUUGAUUUUCAAAUAUUAAGUAUAUAACUAUUCUUUGAAUAUUUUUUUUUGAAUUGUAUUUUUUGAUUAAAAUAUUGUAUUAUAAUGUUUAUAUAAAAAUUUUGUGAUGUUUGAAUUGUGAUGUUCGUAUACUUAACCUAGAUGAUAUUGAUGUUUAACAUUAUUGUUUUCUGGAAAUAGAAAAUAAUGAUAUAUCAAAACGUAUCUAAUACUUGUUAAAUGAUAGUAUAAUGUAAAUUACAUCCAUUAUUUGAAAAUAACCCUUUGUUGUUUUUAUUUAUUUAUUUUAAUCAGAAAUUAUUUUAUUUAAAAACAUUAUUCAUAUAUAAUAUAAUAGUUUAAGUUUGGAAGAUUAAUCUAUAUAUAUAAAUUAUGUAUAUUUUUUAAAAAAAAAUUAAGAUAUUAUAUAUAGAGUAACUGGAUAAAAGCUGAAUUUCUUAUCUUGAAAAUCAAAUAUUUAUAUUUUUGUCUUCAUGUUAUACUUACCAAUCCAUCAUUGAUAUUUAUAACUCAGUAUGUUUUAAAAAAAACUUAGUUUUAAGUAAUAAACGAAUUUAAUAAAUUAAAUUCAUCACCUAUAAUGUUCUGUAAACUAUAUUUGAAAACUCUCUAAAAUUAUAUUUUAAGCAUAAUAUUAAUAUUAUUUAAUUUAAGUUAUUUUAAGCAUAAUAUAUGCUAAACCAACUUAAAUUAUAUUUACAAUAGGACCAUCCUAAACCGGUUAAUAAACCAAAAAUAAUACUAAACCAACAUAAACCAAUACCUGAUUCGGCGAGGAAGGAAGUGUUUCGGGAUAAACGCUUGAAUGGUUAUUAACUGUAAUGGUUUGAUCAUGAAAGAGUUAGUAUGAAUAUUAACAAUAAAAUUAUGGAUUAGAUUAAUUUAAAUUUGUAAAAAUACUUUUGUGUCUAUGAAAAGCAAUUCAAUUCUCAUUAAUAAGUUUGACUUUUGGAAGUUGCGGGUUUUCCAACAAUGAAUCCACCUAACAAAAAGUUCAUUGUUAUAAAAAAUCUCCUUCAAGGUCAUUAAAGGUUUUUGAGACGGCAAGAAUUGAUGGUGGAACUUUUUUUUGCUCGAGUGCUUUGAAGUUUUCUUUGAUUGUGUGAGGUUGAUGUUGAUGGGAUAAUCAGUUUUAUAGGAGCUUUCUUGAUGUAAAACUAUAUAUUUUUUUUGUUUAAUGUGGUAUUUCCAUUUUUAUAUAAUAUACUACCAUUUUAAGAUAGAUGUACAUUUUAAGAUAGAUGUUUAAAUCUCAAUGUAAUUUUUUCAUUUUUAAAUGUUUAUCUCCAUUUCUUAUAUUUUUACUUACGUAAUAUCUAUAUUUUAUAUUUUAAAAUAGAUAUUUAAAUCUUAAUGUACUUUUUCCAUUUUUUUUAAUUGUGUAUUUACUUAUAUUAUAUAUUUUACAUUUUAAGAUAGAUGUUUAAUGUUUAAUGAACUUUGUCCAUUUUCUUAAAAAAUUGUGUAUUUACUUAUUAUUAUAUAUAUAAUUCAUAUAUUAUAUAUUUACAUUAUUUACUUAUUAUUUAUUUUCCUGUAUAUGUAUUUCUAUUUCCUGUACUUUUUAUUUACUUAAUAUCUCUAUUUUACAUUUUAAGAUAGAUGUUUAAAUGUUAAUUUACAUUUUCCAUUUUUUUAAAUUGUAUAUUUCUAUUUGUUAUACUUUCUAUUUACGUAAUAUUAUAUUUUAAAUUUUAAGAUAUAUUUUUAAAUCUUAAUGUAAUUUUCCAUUUUUUAAAUUGGGUAUUUGCCUAUAUUAUAUAUUUACUUAUUAUUAUUUUUAUUUAUAUUGUGUAUUUCUAUUUCUUAUACUUUCUAUUUACUAAUAAUUUUAUAUUUUAAGAUAGAUUUACAUUUUAAGAUAGAUGUUUAAAUACUAAUGUACUUUUUCCAUUUUUUUAAAUUGUGUAUUUCCUUUUCUUAUACUUUCUAUUUGCGUAAUAUCUAUAUUUUACAUUUUAAGAUAGAUGUUUAAAUCUUAAUAUAUUUUUUCCAUUGUUUUUAAGUUGUGUAUUUCUUUUUCUUAUACUUUCUAUUUACUUAAUAUCUAUAUUUUACAUUUUAAGAUAGAUGUUUAAUAUUUAAUGUAUUCUUUCCAUUUUUUAAAAUUGUACAUUUACUUAUUAUUGUAUAUAUAAUUCGUAUAUUUAUAUAUUUAUAAUAUAUACUUAUUAUUUAUUUUUCUAUAUAUUGAGUAUUUCUCUUUCUUAUACUUUAUAUUUAGUUAAUAUCUAUAUUUUAAGAUAUAUGUUUAAGUUUUAAUGUAUUUUUCCAUUUUUUAAAAUUGUGCAUUUACUUAUUAUUGUAUAUAUAAUUCGUAUAUUUAUAUAUUUAUAAUAUAUACUUAUUAUUUAUUUUUCUAUAUAUUGAGUAUUUCUCUUUCUUAUACUUUAUAUUUAGUUAAUAUCUAUAUUUUAAGAUAUAUGUUUAAGUUUUAAUGUAUUUUUCCAUUUUUAAUGUAAAACGACAAUGUUUAAUAGAAGAAUUUGGAAAAAUAGUCAAAUAGUUAUAUUUAUGUUUUUUUUUCUUUUUUUAUAAAAUGGUAAUGUUACAUUAUGGAGAUAAGCCAUUUUUUUAGUGAAAAAUGGUAAUCUUACAUAUGUUUAAUGUAGAUUUCCAUUUUUUUAUGUUGUAUGUUUACAUAUUAUUGUUAUUUUUAAAUGUAAAAUGGUAAUCUUACAUAUGUUUAAUGUAGUAUUUCUAUUUUUUAUGUUGUAUGUUUACAUAUUAUUUAUUAUUUUCAAAAUUAUAUAUAGUGUUUUUUUACAAAAUAGUAAUGUUACAUUAUGGAGAUAAGCCGUCUUUUUUUUAGUGAAAAAUUGUAAUCUUACAUAUGUUUAAUGUAGUUUUUCCAUUUUUUAUGUUGUAUGUUUACAUAUUAUUUUUUAAAAAUAAAAAUGUAAAAUGGUAAUCUUACAUAUGUUUAAUGUAGUAUUUCUAUUUUUUAUGUUGUAUGUUUACAUAUAUUUAUUAUUUUCGAAAUUAUAUAUAAUGUUUUUUGUUUUUUUUAUAAAACGGUAAUGUUACAUUAUGGAGAUAAGCCGUUUUUUUAAGUGAAAAAUGGUAAUCUUACAUAUGUUUAAUGUAGUUUUUCCAUUUUUAUGUUGUAUGUUUAGAUAUUAUUUAUAAUUUUUGAAAAUUAGUAAAACUAUAUUUUAUGCCACGUGUCAUCUUUCGGAAGUAGUUUUUUUUGCUGCUGUGGACGCUCUAUGGAGCCUCAAAAGGUCCCUUUUAUUAACGGUAAUGUUACAUUAUGGAGAUAAGCCGUUUUUUAAGUGAAAAAUGGUAAUCUUACAUAUGUUUAAUGUAGUUUUUCCAUUUUUAUGUUGUAUGUUUAGAUAUUAUUUAUAAUUUUUGAAAAUUAGUAAAACUAUAUUUUAUGCCACGUGUCAUCUUUCGGAAGUAGUUUUUUUUUGCUGAUGUGGACGCUCUAUGGAGCCUCAAAAGAUCUCUUUUAUUAGUAUAGAUUAUUUUUAGUAAACAGUAAAACAAACACUAUACAUAUUCGAAUAUGCGUUUCUCGUUUUAUGUAUUUGUCUUUUGCGAUUCGUUCCGUAUGAUAGCGACAAGAAAAAGACAUUUUAAUAUAUUUAAACAGAAGUUUAUGUUAUCUAAAAAUCAUUUUCUUAGUUUAAUAAAAAAACCUACUACUAAAAAGAAAUAUGAUAAUAAAUAAUUAAAGUUUGUAGUAAUGUACAAAAAAAAAAGUCUGCUGACAUACGAAACACCAUGAACCUUCUCAUCUUAAAAGCAUUAUCCGCGUUUUGGCGACUAUAAAAUAAUAAAAUUUGUUGAGAAACCACACACGUAAACGUGAUCAUACGUCGGUCCUUCCAAAUAACUACUUCCUCACAUAAUUUUAAAAUAUACCCCUUUUUUUUUUAAUUAUGUGGCUGUUAUCAAACGUAUAUUGUUAACUGUAUGGUUAAUUAAGUUGUUUAUAUAAAUAUAAUCAUAUCAUAGGUGUAGUUAAAUGGAAAUUCUGAUCCAGAAUACUCCCAAACUGAAAUAAUUAAUAUUAAAUUUUUAGGGAAUUUUCAGUAGAAGACAUGGCUAAGAUUAGCUUCAUCUGCACCCACUAACUUUGGAUGAGAGUUUGAAAGGAACCAACAGUUUUAUUUACUCAGGCCCCGAUAACAUUUCAUUGGUUCGUGUUUAAUUGUAAUCAUUUUCUUGUCAUUUUCGUAUAUCCAACGAGUGUUUUUUUAGCAAUUGAUAAAUAAUACAAGUGUAUAUCAUAGAAAACUAUGAAAUAAUUAAGAAUUCAUAUUCUAUAUUUUCCAGAAAACAAUGAAAUAGUUUUUGUUGCUACAUUAACAGCUUAAUCAUAUUCACCGGAAGAUUAUAGGACACAAUUGUAAUUGACAAGCCGGGACUGGCUCUGAGAUUUUGGGAGUUUUAGAUGAUUUUUGUAAAAUAUUCAUUAAAAAAAAUGAUUAAGAAAAUUUGAGAAUUUUUUUUUAGAAAAAUGUGAAAGUCUAUGUAUAUGUAUUUUUUUUUAAAAAAAAUUAAGAACUCUAGACGAAUGUUUCAUCCGGCUUUGCCCAAAACCGGUUCUGCAAUAGAUAGAUCAUUAAAGUAUCAGCAGUACACACAACAUACAAAACUUUGAUGGAUGGUUCAAUAUUUUCUUUAGGUCGAAGGAUGAUUCGGCUCAUAGCCCUUAAAAUCUUCAAAAAAAUAUUGAAUCUACUAUCCAGAAAUUCAUACUUUCUGUAUAUAGAAUUUAAGUUUCUGUAUGAGACACUUAUUUCUUUCUCGCUCAGUGACGAUUAUACGAUAAACUAAACAUUUGUGAACAUAAGAAAAUCUGGUAUAAUAUAUUCACCAUCAUGUACAUCACGCAGAUAUGUAAGGCUCAGCAACCUAGGAACACACAUAGAUUUACUUUCCAGUAAAUAUACAGCAACACUGGUUAAAACAAUUAGUUCAUGAAACAAUGGAGUUUCAAAAAAAAACAAUUAGUUAAAUUAUUUUAAACACUAAAAUGAGCAUAUUAUAUAAUUUAGUUAUCACAUCACUCUCUGCAUAUAAAUAUAUCUGUUGGAGAAUGCUAAUAGUUAUUUGUCCCUUGGCAAUUCUGGCCACUGACAAGUUUUGAUGAUCAUAUUUGAUGAAGACAGUUUUAACUCUAGCAUAAUUUUCCUGAUACAAUAAGACUAUAUAUAUUAAUACAUAUAGCAAUUUGAUCUAUUAAUUAUGAUUAGUGUUAUUAACUAAAAUUCAACAUCAUAACUUCUUUCAUACCUAACAUCCAUAAAGAACGUCUCCAUCGACUUUUCUUUUUGGCCUUAUCGAACUAAGGAGUCAUAUUGUUCCCAAUUAUUACAAUCAUAUACUCAUAUAUUUUAAAAUAAAUACGUUUUUCUUUCUUAUAUGUAUCUUUGAAUGCAAGUUGUAUGUGUAUUAUUAUAUGUUCUACCAUUAUAGUGUUAUUACUUACCCUUUAUGGUUAACCGAAGAGCUAUUAAUUAUGACCCUGAACGUAGGAACUUCUGGAAACAAUAUCAAGAUGAUCAUACAAAACUAAUAAUCAAAGUGGAUAUGUUCAGUAGGGUUUGGGUUUUGAAACAUGAAAGACUAGUCAACUAUUCGUUUAAGAAAUUACAAAACUCAAAUGCUGCCCAGCGAAUGUCUUUCUGUAUAUGUCAUUUGAAAAUAAAAUACACCAUAGGGAAUAAACAACCUUUAGUGCAUAUUUUCUUAUGACUUUUGAUCCGCAGUAAAACAUUAUACCUGUUCGCACGUUCUUACGGCCUUCGUUUCCGAACAUUUUCAACGACUAAGUUUAAAAAAAAAAACAUUUUCAACGGCUAAAAAUCUUAUCAACCCAAAUUAAAUAUAUAGUAUUUACGGUAGUGACAUUUUUGUAUAAUAUAGUAUAGACAUUGCGUUAUAAAAAAUCCACCUAUUCGAAAGAAAGACCAGUAUGAAAUGAAAUUAUUCCUCUCCCGUUGUGAUGUUUGAUUUGAAAUCCAGUAACCGCCUUCUAUACGACUCUUUAUUUAUGUAGAAUGUGGUGGACCAUUCACUUAGAUAAUUGCAAAAGAUGCUUUUCUUGAAGAAAAAGUUUAAAAUAGCUAAGAGUUUUUUUCCUUAUGAUCACUUGACAAUUACAUACACUAGCACAAAAGAACUUGUAAAACAGAGGAGGAUCUAAUCUUAUUAUAAAAUGAAACUAUAUUUAUUUAUAUAGUCUAUAGAGUAAACCAACCAACAUAUAAAACCCAACCCACGCCUCUCAAAAACCGGUUCUACCCAGCUAAUGUAGCCGGUUUAGAUUACCGGACUCGGAAGUAUCCUUAGACCAUGAUUAUCGCGAGUCUUUAAUGGGAUCCUUAACUAAAAUUGAUGAUUUAAUUAAAUCAAAACAAAAUUAAAAGUGUAUAACCGAUCCUUAGUUAAUGGUUUUUGUAACCGAUGAUAGAAAAGUUUCUUAUAACACGUGUCAGCAACAUGUGUUUUUGUUUUUUUUUUUUUUUUUUUUUCUUUUUCUUUUCUUUUCUUCCUCUCCUCUUCUCUCAUCUUCUCACCGUGGAAGGGAACCGGAGCAUCCGUUCAAUCGGCGUUUCUCUCGUCUUCUCCUCUCCGUCGCGAAGCGUCUCCUUCCUUCAAUCGCCGUCAUGUCCGUCUUUCUCUUCUCUGGUCUUCUCCGAUGGUAAAGGAAGCGUCUCCUCCCUUCAAUCGUCGCUCGUCCAAUCGCUGCGACCCCAUCUCCUCUCUCUUCUGACCGGUGAGAUCCUUUUCAGAUCCUUCUUGUAAUGGAAUUAAGUGUCUUGUAAUGGAGUUAAUGUAUGUUUAUGUGUCAUGGACUGAUAAUCAUGCUUCUGUAAUGUCUUGUGCUUUUCUGUGUCACGGACUGAUAAGUGGGAGCAUUGAGAGAUUCAUCACAGAGUGGAGCAGUGGGAGCAUCUCAUGCUUGUUGUUUCACAGAGUGGAGCAGUGGUAAAAAGUCUACUUUUCUUGAAGUCUUGGGUUUUGUCGCUUGUUAGACUUAGUUUAUGGUAAGUGAAUAUGUGUGUGUUGAAUGCUUGAAGUACUUGAUAGAGGUGGUUAAUAAAUGCAGCGCGGAGUUAGGUUGUGGUUAGUGAUUAGCGUGUGAUGAAUGCUUGUUUAAGUUUAAGAAGAAUCUCUGUUCUUGCUCUGUUUAAGUUUCUUGUGUGAUGGUGUUGUUAAACGAGUGUGGCAUGUUUCUUGUUCUCUUAUGAAGUUACCGUAUUUAUGUUUAUGUUUCAUAUAUAUACUCUUGUUUUCUACGCAGGUAACACGACACAAGACGAGGCAGAUGUGAGCACACGAGUCACGGAGUUGGGAGUGGAAGAAUCACAGACUUGGGAGUGGAAGGAUCACGUAUUCAUCUACACUCUUCCACAAGUAACCACAAACAAGUAAUUUUUUUUUCUUUUUAAGAAACCCAAAUUAAGAACCUACCAUUGUAGCUUAAAAAUUAGGUGAUUUUUAACUAAGGUUUUUAGCUAAAAUUUAUUAGUUAAAUAAUCAUUAAAGUGUACUUAAGAAACCUUAUGGGUUUCUAGGGAUAAUGAUGCUCUUAGUAUUACAAAUUUUGUCAUAUCUACCUUUUCUCUCCCUAUAUUUCUUAGUUAUUUACACUUUCCUCCCCUCUCAUUUCACUUACAUAACAGAACACCCGUUUGGAUUCUCAUCGCUAAACAUUUCAGGAGCACGCAUAUGAGCAUAAGGAUCUGCAUACCCUUGGUGGUUCAUAUACGGUGGUGGUGGUGCUUGUUGUCCAUACCCUUGGCCGUAUCCUUGAUUCAUAUAAGAUUCAUGUACGUAUCCUUGGUUCACAUACGGUUCUUGAACAUAAGAUUGAGAUGAUUGACCUUGCAUCAUGUAGUGUUGUUGACCGUACACUUGUCCUGGUGGGUUGUAAUACAUCGGCUGAGGUUGAUACCCAUAACCGCUAUACUCCGAUUUCUUCACAUCCAACGUAGCACCACCGUCACCUCCUCCGGCUGAGGCAACUUCUUUCUUCUUUUCACCACCACCGUCCUUCUUUUCACCACCAUCUUUAUUUUCUUUCUUUUCACCAACACCUUUGUCCUUCUUCUCUCCACCAGCUGGAGCCGCCGCAGCUGCCACGGUGGCUCCCUCCUCUUUUUUGGGCGGAACAACUUCGACGGUGCGUUUAAGCUUCUCGUUGAGAUAAGGAGUGAGUUGUUUAACGUCAAUGAUCCCCUUCACUAUCACCAAGUCCUUGGUGCUAUCAAUGGCCACUGAUUUAACCCCUGUAUAAAAUAAACAUUCACACCAUUAAUUAACUAACUGUAAUUAAUAGAAUAAUAAAUUAAUCUCAUAUAUUAGGCUAACCACUUCAUAGCUAACCAUUUGAUAUGUUUUCACUAAAAUAAUAAAUUGAGAAGCUACCUAGAGGUAGGUCAACCUAAUUAUAAUGAUAUUUAAUCUCUUGUUGCUUCCGUUAUCUUCCAUCACCAACCGUAUCAAUUUAAUUAAUACUAAGAACGCUUCAAAAAUGGAUCUGAUUAGGAUAAUAAACUCACCCUUAAUUUUGUUGACUAUUCUCUUGAUUUUGUGCUCGCAACCUUCGCAAUGUAGUUUCGUUUUCAGAACCACCGUACUCUGCAUCACAUCAGAAAUAAUGAUUAAUCUUUGAUUUAAUUAUAAAAGUCGUAAUAAUAUAUAUAUUUUUAAAACAUCUCAACCAAUGAAUUGGAUAAGAACGAGUGUAAUUUCCGUAAAGGUUUAGAAGUGCAACACACGUUAAAGACCACAAGCAAAUGGACUUAAAUAUAUUUAUAUACUUUUAAAUAUAUGUGACAAAAGAGUUUUUAAUGGAAGAAAUAAUAAUUACAGAGAUAGAGAUGUUAUUAUUACCUCUUUUGGUGGAGCAGGAGGAGAAGGAGCUUUCUUCUCUCCUUCGUCUUUCUUCAUCUCAACUUUUUUCUCACCGGCGGGUUUCUCAUCGGCCGGCUUCUUUUCAGCUGGUUUCUCCUCCACCACCUUCUUUUCACCGCCUGAAGGAGGAGGAGCCUCUUUCUUAGGCGCCACGGUAGAGACUAUUUCAACCUUUCUCUUCAUUCUCUCGGCUACUUUAUCACGAACUGCCGUGGGAUCUACGUUUCCGACCACCGUCAACUUGUCAUCCUUAUAAUCAAUCUUCACAUCUUCUACGCCUGAACAAGAACCAGAGAAUUUAUGUUUGCUAUGGUUUUAAACUAGAUAUGCCACCAUAAACUCACAUAUAUAUAGAGAGAGAGAUGACUAUGUAUACCUUUGUGUUUUUUCAAGAUUCGUUUGAUUUUCUUGCCACAACCUUCACAAUGCAUAUCAAGCUUCAUAACCACGACGGUGUUAUUACCACCAUCGACUGGCUUCUUGUCUCCUUCAGGUUUCGUCACGGUUUCUUCCUUUUUCUGCUAAUUUAACCAUAACGUUAAGCAACAAAACAUAGAGAGAUCGAGAGUGAAGAAUAAGAAGAAGAAGGAGAUUAGUAACUGACUGACCUCACCCAUCGUAGUAGAUAGAAUCAGUAUUUUUGAUUCUGAAUAUACUCUGGAAAAGAUCGAGAGAAUAUUAUGUUUUCAAGACACGAAAAAGUAGGAAGAGGAGGAGGAAUAUAUAUAGACCGAGGGUGUGUGCUUAACAAUGAUGGUAAUGAUGAUACAUACUUUAUAUUGAUCAUGUGUAUUUUAAUAUUUAAUGACAUGCAUAACACAAGGGUCUGGAUUAGUAGGCGAGUUUGUUUAUUUUCUUGCCGCCGAGUUGGACUUAUCACUAGGUGGGCCCUUUCAACGAGGUUAAACAACGGCGUUUACAAUUUGACCGCGUUACUUUAUAACCAGAAUUGAAUUGAUGUAAAAUGACGGAGCUAUGCUCAGCCCAUUGAGUUAUUUUCGGCCCGUUUAAUUUGACUUUAUUAGUCAGAAUCAAACUUAUUUUGCCUUGACUGUAACAUGUAAUCAUCCCUAAUUUGUUUCAUUUUUUUUGAGCAACGCUUUAUUUUUUUCAGAAUAAAACACUUUCAUAUUUGAAUUGGGUUUUUUUUAAAAAUUGAUAUAUUUUAAAAUUAAAAUAAAAAAUAAAAUUUAUAUCUCUGUUUUCAAAUAAUUUAAUUUUUAUUCCAUUAUCAAAUUGAAAUAAAAGUAAACUUAGUGAAGUUUUUACUUUAAAAUUUUUGCAUAUUUUUAUGCAGUUAUAUUUGUCAACCAUCAAUAGAAUCGACUCCUACAUUUUUUUUCUUAUUAUCUUUAAGCAGCCAUAGCCAAAUAUUUGAACUCUUCAUCUCAUAUAGUGUCUUCGUUAACAAGAACGAUCACGUUCCAAAUCUUCAACUAUGAUAGCAACACUGAAUAUUCCCAACAAUGUUUUGAGACUGUGUCGAUUUUGGUUAACGAAACAUAAACAAUAAGACUAUUGUCUUAUUGGUAAGAUCAUAUCGUAUAUACAUUCACUUAAAAAAAAAGACAUUUACUUUCUUUUUUUUUUUGCAUUCUUGUAUACACAAUCCAUUUCUUGAUACUAUUGAUGUUUAGUGUUUAUUCGACAUUUAAUUAAUACAUAUUUGAUUGUGUUUGGUUAAUUGAAGUUGAUGCUGCAUGAUUAGCAUAUGCUUGUUGUCAUGGAAGUGAAAUAAUUUACUUGAGUAAUUUAGCCUACGAAAAUUGAAAAAUGAAUUGUUUGGCAUCCUAACUCAAAGCUUAAUCAUUCUUGAUCAAUUAUCUAUGUCCAUAUGUUCAAUUUUGGCAAUCAAUUAAAAGUUUAUCUUAGCUCAAAGCUUAGUCAUUCUUGAUCAAUUAUCUAUGUCCAUAUGUUCAAAAUUUAUCAAUCAAUUAAAAGUUUCUCUUUGGUACUUAAUUAAAUCUAAAAUCUUCUAGUUAAAGUGUAUAGUUUUUAUUUUGUCACUACAAACUACUCUUAUUGCUUAGAUUAAAAAAUAACUUGUAUUUUGGGGAUGAGACAUUGUUAGAAAGAAAGUGAAAAACCCUAAACGUCUGCUAAUCUUAAACCCUAAAGCCCUGCACUUGCUUCAUUUCCAAGAGUUUCCAUUUUUGGCUUCUCUGUUUAUUAUUAAUGACACACUAUGUUUCUUCAGUUAAUAAUGGUGCAGCUGUGUUUUAUAUCAAUUUUAACCGUUUGAAAUUAGUGGGUAAACCGAAUCCCGGUUAACAAUCAGUGUAACAUUAUCCAGUUCAAGAUUUCUCCUAUGAUCUCCUAUUCUGGUAGCUUAGGGGGUAGACUACUCAGUAUAAAAAUUACAGUUUAAGGUAGAAUAGUAAUAAUAUAAAUAUAUAUGUGUGUGUGUGCCUUGUAAAACCAAACAGAGUUAGGGUCAAGUUUCUGAAAUCAAGUCUCUUAUUAGAAUGCAACAUAAACGUAUAUAAAAGCAACUAUUAUUCUUUAAAAAGUGUUAAACUCUGAUCCUAUUCUCUCUGGUUUCUUUCUCUCAUGCACUGAAGCAGCCUCUCAUGCUCUACCGGCAACUAAACCUGUAUGGCUCUGUAUCUAUUUCAUGUCUACGAAUACACCUUCCUUGAAUCUCUUGCAUAGAGCCUGCACGCCUGAGUCAAUCCGUGCAUUAUCCUGUUGAAGAAAAAAAUAGUAACGAAACUUAUGAAACUUGAAAAAAAAUGAGGAAAUAAAUGAAAGCCAGAUCUUGUGUGUUUGUUUGUACCUUCCCCUUCAAGCAGAUGAUGAUAGGACCUUGUCUGGAUUUCCGGUAACACCCUGUGAAGAAGAUUGAGAUUAAGCAUAGAGAGUUAAGAUGCUCUGAGACAGGUCAAAGAUUUUAUACCAAUGUAUAUGUCUGGGAACUCGAGACCAAGUUUGGUUAGAGGCUCUGCAACUUCAACCUGCAUUUCAAGAAAAUACAAUUCAAAGUCACUACACACACAUCACCAUGAAUCUAUUGGGAACUAUGAGUCUUGGUUACACACAGAUUCUUGCAUGAAAAGCAAAGAAGUAGCAACAAGGCCAUAGCAAACAAAUUGAAAAGGUAAAACAUACAUCUGUCAAAGAUGUCAUCAAGCGCCUUGACGACGCAUACAGCUCCAUGAGUGAUGUACUUCCACCCAAUUUGGUUAGCUCGGUCAGACAUUCCCACUCCUUCUCGAGCUCCUCGGUGUUUGUAGCAGCAAGAACAAUCACAUUGCGGCACUUUAUCUACAUAUAUUGAUCAGUGAUCAAAUGGGUAUGGAAGGAUAAGGAUACUUGACUUCAAGUGGCGUUGUGGGUUGUGAGAGCACCUACCAAUGGCACCGAAAGCUUUUCAUGAUGCAGUAGUUCAGUGAUUCCUUCCGGUAACUGAGCCAUCUGAAUUGACAAAAGCAAUCAACUUAGUGAGGAACCAUAUACGCAACAACAAUGUAUGUACAAACCAUAUCAAAACGACUCUGAUGCUAUAAGUUUUUAGCUAUUUUGUCUGAAAAUAUACUAAUCCAUUAAAAUGGUUGUUUUCAAGACUGAACUCACUUCAUUCCUGUCACCUGUGCACUGCUCGCUGAUAAGAUGCCUAAGGUACUCCUCAAACUCUUCAUCAGGUGCCUGAAUAAACCAACUUUAUCAGCUUCUUACACUACAACUGAGUGGUGAUUAUGGCAAUUAUCAAACUAUCUUAACCACAAGCCUGUCUUAAAAUGAAAGAGAAACUUACCAGGCGAACCCCAAAUGCCUUAGCAACACCAGCCAGAGUAACAUCUGAAUGCAAAGGACCAACUCCUCCAUAUAUAAACACCUCCAAAAAGCAUCAACCACAUUAAAUCUAUCAGUCUCUCUUUGCAUUUUAUGCUCAUGUGUUUUAACGAACUUACCAUAUCACAGAUAGACCUUUGGCGGUCAACUUCCUCUGAUACAGAAUCAAUCUGUUUAAAAAAAACACAGAGAAGACUGAUUUACUUUCUCUGGUUUAUUGAUGCAACAAAGAACAAUGAGUAAAAAAUCUUACAUCAUUUCGAAUAACAGAAGUUUGUUGCACAGACCAACCAACAGACGUCAGCUUCUUACACAGACACAGUCCUAACUGGUCUUCAACAGUGCCGGACCUGAGCUAUGGAACAGAUAUAUAUAUCAUUAUUGUUCUGUUGACACAAAUAAAGAGCCUUAGAAUAAUGACUUACAGAAUCUCAUCGCCAACGGCAAUGACCGAGGCCAAAAGCACCUCAUGUUUAUGCGAAUCACUAUCUGCAUCAUUCUUGAGUGAAGCGUUUUUCUUAACUCUGCCUGCCCUCUCUAACCUCCCAUCAGAAAGCAAAUAAGCAGGUUUGAAUAAUUUCUCUUUGCUACUGCUGGUGGUGUCGUUAACAGACAGUAACGCGUUGGGGACAGUAUCAUGAAUACUCCCAAUUGAUGUGUACCCUUGGUCAUAAAGACUGCAAUACUUGACUUUGCAAGUUAGAAGAAACGCCCAAACAUCUCUGCAUAGGAAAAAACUAAAAAAUAUCAGAAUAAAGAACCUUUUUAUGGGUGCAAGUUGAUAGAUCAAUAAACUAUUAUUAUUAUAUGAUGAAUGAGAAAAAAGGGAUACCUAUAAGACCAAUCCAAAAUAGGAUUCACUCUCAUAAAGGGAGGCCAUCCAGGGGAACUAGGAGAGAACUGCUCUUGACCAACCUGGAAACAAACAAUCAAUCACAAUGAUCAAACUUUUUAACAUGUUGUACAAAAUAUUUGAAUAUGAAUGUUGAGAUUUGAAGGUGAAGCUAACCGCAGUAGGAUCACCAAUUCUGACGCCUAGAAAAAUAGCUCUAAUAGGAUUAGCUUUUAACAAAGCCUCCAACCCGGAUUUGAAAUCUUGGCGAAUGAUAUCAAGUUGCAGAUCAUAACUGUCCAUACAGCAUAAGAUGAUUAGCCAACCAACCAGCAGAAAAAAAAUGUAAAUGGUAAGUGCAGAGCUUUCUCUUACGUUUGAGCUGCAUCAUAUGUAAAUGAAUUAAUUUCAGUGAAGGCAGAAGGGCUCUCGAAGUAUAUGGUCCGGACUGGAAAGUUUGAUAUGCCUCCAUUAGAACAAGUGAGUUCUUUCUUAUGCAAAAAGUAGCCGGCUCUAAGAAGGUGCAGUAACACCUAAAGUUCAUUAUGAGAGUCACUACUCUAUUACUCAGGAGAAUAGAAAAGAUUAAAAACAGGAAACAGUUUUGAACUUACAGUGGAAUCUUUUCCUCCAUUGAAACUAAAGGCGACCUCUUCAAUACUGCACAAGUUAUAGAGAUUGAAGAACCAGUUAAGGAUAUUGCAAUAAAUGAUCUUGACAAUGAUCACUCACACACAUGUCAAACAAGAAAUGGACAGGAAGCAUAUCAUUAAUUUUCAAAAAGUAGAAAACUUUUAUAACUGCUAAUGUCUUGUCCAAUCCAAUCGAUUUAAUAAAAAAAGACCAUAAGAACCAGAAAAAGAGUUAUAAAGCUUAGCUUCAUGUCUUUGGUCAAAGUUUUGUAAGACAAAUGAAUCUGAAGAUGAAGACUUGCAAUAAGAGAAGAGAGGAGAGAGCUGACGAGUAAAGAGAAAGAGCUCUUCUGAUGACGAAGAUGGCGUUGUUGUACUUGGUCUUCAACCUCUUAUCAUCACUUUCUCCAAUCGCUUUGUCGAUCUCCAUCUCUCUCUUCUCUCCUGUGGCAACAAUGAAAAGACAAAUCCAAAAUGCUCUCAAAGCUCAGAAUCUAGUAAACCGAGAAAAGACAAAUGCUUUGAAAUUCGAGAUGGUUCAUCAGAUUGAGAGUAUCCAUAGAUUCAGGAGCUUUCGGACAAGCUGAAAGUUCUCACCUUUUUCCGACAACUCGAAAAUGGCGUCGGAAGUUCAAUUAGAUUGCUUCUCGAAAUGAAGAAGAAGAAGAAAGGAGACAGAAAGGAGAUAUUCGUUUCGGACAAUGUGAGAUUCUUUCACUAAAGGUUGGAACUUUAUGGAUAUAUUUAAAUUCUCUUAUAAAUAUAUAUAAAUACAUUCCAAAGUUCCAUCCUUUUAUUCCCACACCUUGAUUUAUCUAAAAAACCCACCUAAAAUCUUAAAAUGUGAUAUAAAAACAAAACAAAAAAAAUCUAUAUAUAAAAAUAAAAUAAAACUGAGAAAGACAAAAGCUUUGCUCAUUUUAAAUUUUCUUAUUUGCAGAAAUUAGAUCCUUAUAAAUUCCUACGUAAUUAACUUUAAUGCUGAAUUUUCAUUUCCAGUCAAAUAAUAGUUCUAUAUCUAUUCUAUUAAGAAGCUUCGCUUUCAUAGGAUUAACGAAUGAAUAGUUAUGUAGCAAGUCACGGUCCAAUGAUUUUGCUUUUAUGACAACUUUUCUCUGAGUGAGUGCGCGUGCGUGCGUUUAAACACCUAAUCGCAGUCGCACACCGCAACAACCAAUAGCGUCGCUCGUAUCAAGGUCAUACACGUUUUCUUAACCCACAUCCCACGUUCAUCUCUGACUUUUCACACUACGUAUCAUGUUCUAUAAAGAAAAUAACAACUUUUAUAACAAAUUUUUCAAACUAAGCCAUUUACAUGAAAGUAGGCCAUUAAAUUCUCUAAUGAAAUAUACUAAGUAAUUAUACUCACCCAGCAAAUAACAAGACCGACCUUAGCUCAGUUGGUAGAGCGGAAGACUGUAGUUGUUGCUGUAAUCUUUAGGUCGCUGGUUCGAUUUCGGCAGGUCGGAUUAUUUUUUACCUCAGCGGCUAUUUUCUUUACAAUUUAUUGCGUAAGGUUUUCAAAUCAUGUAUUUAUUUCUUGAAAUCAACCAAUGAUUCAAAAGAUUUUAAAUUAAGCAACUCGUAUUUACAACUACAUUGCCAGUAAUUUAUCCAUGUCUACAUGUAAGUAUUGGCUACUUAGACUGCACCUAAGACCAAAAGAUAGAGAUACAAACGAUGGACAGGUUAGCCUCUUUACAUGUAUGUUUGCUCGUUCCUAAGAAGCUGCAAUCUAUCAUCCGUCAAGAGACCGAGCAGAGUGUAACCAUUCACGUUAGCGUAUUUCACGUCUUGAAGUGGAUGAUGACUCGCCAACGAGAAUCUCUGAGAGACGGCGAAAGUCGAAGGAUCUUGCAAGAUGAGCUGGCGAGUGGACUCCUCGCAAGACGCAAAAAGCUGCUUCCUUCCUCCCUCGCCAAAGUCUACAAUCGAUGUUCUUGGCAAACGGAUGGUAUCUACGGAAGCAUGUGUGGAUGAAAGCUUCUGAAAACAAAAACCUCGUCUCUUGAGAGAAACAUGGAAUCCAUCUACACCGAUGGUGUUAGCUCCGGUUUGAGUCAACGUAGGCUGAGUAGAGACUGUAUCAUCAGAGGAUCCAACUCUCGGUCUAUAAGAAGCAACGACAUGAUCGCUCCAGGGACAAUAUGAGGAUGAAAUGCAAACUCCUGGGUUUCCAGUUUCAGGAACCAAUGAUGGCCUAAACAAACACAAGAAAAAAAAAUGAAUUGAUAAAACUUCUCUAAGCACGAAUCCAUGUGAAAGAAGCACAAAACCUCACCUUCCCUCGCUGCCGUUGAUGUUCCACUGACAAAGACCGAUGGAAGAAGCGGACAAGAGAGAACACACAUCAGAACUUGGAGUGGAGUUGGUAGAGAGAUGAUGGAUAGUAUGAACUGGAUUGCUUGUUAAGCCAGCGAACGAUGCCAAUGGUCCCAUGGUUUGACGCAUGUCAAACAAUAAAACCAUUCCGUUCUGUGAAAGAAGAACGUUAGGAGACGCAGGUAAAGUGGAAUGAGCAAAGAUUAAUAAAAUGAUUAAAACCUGCAGUCCAGCAUAAAUAUGGUGAGAACUGUUGCGAUCCCAAGAGCAAGACCAAGGUGCAGCCUACAAGAGCAAAAGGUAAAGUGAUCAUAAAAUCAAUCCUCUAAAAUCAUAUUCAAAGCAAAUUUCAUGAGAGAUGGUCAAAAGACUGUAUAGCUUACCGGUAGAUCAUAAGAUAAGACAGUGUUGUGGCUCUCCAAGCUGAACAAUUGAAAAGAUAGGUAAUUAGGACAACAAUGAAAUCACCACAGGAGUGGAAGCUUGCUGAAAAGGUAGCAAUGUCCGAACCUUAUAACUGAUAACUUUUUUCCUAGAGAGCCGAAAACUGCAAGCCCAUUAUUGUGUGGGGAGAUGUGAAGAUCUUUUAUUGCUCUAGUUGUUGGAGGCAGCAUAAUGUCAUCAAUCUCACCCGAAUGUAGGCUCAUCUGAGAUACAUAUUAUUGGAAAAAGUCAUAUAGUUGCAUCACUUGGUGUAAGAAAAAAAAUCAAGAGGCCAAGAAUAACAAACUUACUUGCGAAAGCACAAACGUUCCACCAACGCCUGAGAGCCUGCGAGCCAAUAACAAAAUCUGUCUACCGCCAUCUAUGUCAAAUAUACGGCCACCAUUAACUAGCCGUUCUCCCUACCGAAAAAAAUGGAUGAAAUUGCAUCAGACACAUAGACAAAAACGAUACUUUACAGCCAAAAGUUCUAAAACAAUGGGUCUAAGAUAGAACACCUGAUGCCUGAAGCUGCAAGAAGGCGCAUGUCCAUUCUGUUCUUGGUAGAUCUUAUUACCUACAUAUAAUGCCCUUACAAAUGUUUAGAUAGGUAUUUGUAUCACAUUUCAAGAAAACCAAAAACAGACAAUUAUUUCACUUAAAGAUAAACCACUGUGUGUGUUGCAACCAUGAAGCAUGUUAUAUUGUAAUUACCAGGUGUAUAUUUCUCUUGAGAAGCCACGUUAGACUCUCUCAGUGCAGCAUUAGUCGUGCUUUCCAUAUAAGCUAUCUUCUGCAAAACCAAAGUUUCCAGCCUUGAACUAUCUAAAAAGAGAAACAAGUGCCAAUAGUGACCAUGUUACAACGAACACUUAGACUGUACCUUUUUCAGCUUACUGACUUCUGAUCGUAGCUCUGCUUCUCGUUUUCUCCAUUGAGCUUCUUUGCUAGUCCAACUAGCAUUCUACAAGAUAUUUAAGAGUAGAGUGUUAAAACUCUACGAGACUAGUACAAAGUGCUACACACAUGUUACUAAUUUACUAUCAAAUGACAGUCUGACACAAGCCAUAACCAACAUAGAUGACAUAAUAAAGUGAACACAUCAAGAGGCAAGGUAGCAAUUUAAAGAAGUAAGCUCAGAAUACUACAGUAAUGUGUCUUACCUUCUGUUCGAUUGAAUUUAAUUUACCCUCCAGGAAUAAGAUUCUCUGUGAGAACAUAAGAAAAAAAAAACGAAAAUCAGAUUUUGAUAAAUAUCUUACAGCAACACUGAAUAUUCUAACCUUGUGUGCGUCAUCAUCUACAGCAGCAAUCCUUGAUGCAAAUAUUUUCCGGACAUCUCUAAGACCACACGUCCUGUUGCAUUGGGGACACUGUAGAAGAAGAAAGAUAAAUGUAUCAAUCAUCAAUAACACAGCAAAGGGAUGUGGAGAAGCACAUUAACAACCACAAACACACACACACACACACCUUUCCUGCACUUCUUGGCUGCUUUAACCAUUUCUUGAUGCAAGAAAAUCCAUACAAAUGCCCACAAGGAAGACAGCUUCAAUCGUCACCAAGAAAAAAAAUAAACAAAAGGAAACUAUAAGUUUCACUUCGCAAUCAAUUGAAGAAACCUAAUCAUCUAAUUACAGCCCUAGAUUAUCAAAUUGAUGGUUUAAUUUAUUCACACAAACAGUGGAAUCGAGUAUAUAUAUACCAGACUUGAUGAUCGCCGCCGUUAGUCCAAACCUCCAUACAAAUCAAACAAGACGUUCCCUCACCCUCGCUAGGUUUCCACGCCGCAUCCUCUUCCUCCUGCGAUCCUGAAGUCGAGCAAACUCCUUCUGCUGACCUUAUCUGCUUCUCUUUCUCCUCACUCUCCUCCUGAGAAGCCCUGGGCGUGUGUGACACAGAUGUAUGUACUCUGAUUUGGCUUUCUUCGUCUUCUUCUUCCUCUUCUUCGGUGUCGUCGUCUUCUUCUUCUUCUUCCUCUUCUUCCGUGUCGUCUGCUUCUUCUUCGUCGUCGUAAUCGUGUCCGUCUUCUUCAUCGAAUUCUUCGAUUGUCACUCCGCCACCUCUGAAGGCGUAACGCCGGCGGGGCGGCAUUAGGGCGACGUCCGAAACUGAGCGCCAAAGGAAGAAGGAGAAGACCAACAGUUAGCGCUGAGUACUUUCUUCGAGAUCUCGAGGAAUUAAUUAAAAUUCGGAAUAAACAUAAGAAGAGAUAUAUACACAUUUUAGAUAGCAGAACAAACCCGCUGAAUGAAUUAGAGUGUCUCAUAUCCAAAUUAAAAUAUAAAAAAAUUCAAAAAAAUAAUUAUUGCGGUGAGCGUGGAUCGAACACGCGACCUUCAGAUCUUCAGUCUGACGCUCUCCCAACUGAGCUAUCCCCGCUUGAUGUUUUUUAAAGAUAUAUAUUUAAAAUAUCGCAAAACGAAAUUUUUUUUUGAAGUAUAAAGCAAAGCGACGACUUGGGGAAAAGUAGAUGAAAUUUUGGAGAGAUCUAUCUGCGAUUAUUUUUGUCGAAAUUCCCAAUUCCUGAGUCAAGAACCCUAAUUUCAAUAUGGUAAGAUUCGUUGUUCAAUUUUGUGGCUUUGCUGAAUCAAACAUCUCAAUUCUGCAGCUUCCAUUUCGGAUUUGUUUUUUGUUUUAAAACAGAUGAUGAUAUUCUAUUCCACAGGUUUGCAUAAUGUGUUUGGUGCCGCUGUUCCUCAUCCCUCUCGUCAAUUUACUGCCUCGGAUCUUUGAUUUGUUAAUGGUAAAACUGGAUCUUGCUUUGUUGAUGAUCUUACGUGUUUGAUUUUUCUUCUUCGAUAAGAAUGAUCAGAUUCAUGGGGGUAUUAUUAAAAAAGUUAGGAACCGUAAUUGUUUUGGAGAUUGUUUCAUGUUUAGAAAUAAAAUUGUAGAACUAAAUGAGGAAGACGAAGAAGAAGAAUAGUCUGUAGAGGUCAUGUUUUUUUUGAAUCUUGCAAGUAGUUUAAGUAUAAGAUGUCUUGUUUUUUUGUAAUCAUUGGUUGGUUUCUUGAGUUUUGUCUGUUCAUGUUUGGAAACUAGGCCAAAGUGUAUGGAUGGUUCGGAUGGGAAUACAGGAAGCCAGCGAGAGUUCCUCCAGCUUGUCCUUUCAAGCCAACUGUCACCAAAGUAAGCUGAAAUUAUCUACUCACGUCGUUGAGUCUUUUCUUAGUUGAAGCAGUUUAGCUGAUGAAAUGCGCUUAAGUUAUUGUUCUUACGUUAUAUUUCAGAUGAUCCAAUUAGUUUGCUUUACUAUCUGUCUUGAAUAUUCACUAUCUUGAAUCUGAACAUCUGGUUGCUUUUGUGAAUCUUAACACUUGAUGUUACAGGUAGCUGCAGAAACAAUAAGUGAAGGUACAGAAACGAUAGCUAAACCGGAGGAUACCACUGGUGGGGUUAAGCAGGAUUGAACCUUUAGUCGUCCUCCCUCCUUUAAUAAAGCUUUUAACAUUCUGUGGACAUGUUUUGGAUAAGAGAGGAACCUUUGUGUGUGUGUGUCAUAAUAAUGUACGUUCAAAG
rnacentral:lncRNA from 1 species